rnacentral:lncRNA from 1 species
UUUGCUGAUGAUACAUUGGUGUUCUGUAAACCUUCACAAGAUCAAUUGACUUAUCUCAGUUGGUUACUUAUGUGGUUUGAGGCCGUUUCGGGAUUGAGAAUAAAUUUGGAAAAAAGUGAACUCAUUCCAGUAGGGAGGGUAGAGAAUAUGGAUGAUCUUGCUUGGGAAUUUGGUUGUAGAUUGGGUAGCCUUCCAACCACCUAUUUGGGGAUGCCCUUGGAUGCUCCUUUUAAGUCAGUUACAGUUUGGGAUGGUGUGGAAGAGCGCUUCUGAAGAAGGUUAGCCAUGUGGAAGAGACAAUAUUUAUCCAAGGGAGGAGGGCGACUCUUAUUCGAAGCACGUUAUCGAAUUUACCCAUCUAUCUCAUGUCAUUGUUGUGCUUACCAAGCUCAGUCAGACGGAGAUUAGAGAAAAUCCAAAGGGACUUCCUUUGGGGUGGGGGCAAUUUGGAGCGAAAGCCUCAUUUAGUAAGAUGGGAGUUGGUGUGUUUAAGUAAGAAGAAAGGAGGUUUGGGGGUCAAAUGCCUUUCCAUUCUCAACAAGGCUCUUCUUGCUAAAUGGAAUUGGCGUUUCGCAAAUGAGAGAGAAGCUUUGUGGAAUCAAGUGAUUAGAGGGAAGUAUGGAGAAGAUAGAGGGGGUUGGUGCUCUCGGGAAGUGAGAGAGGCUCAUGGUAUGGGGUUAUGGAAAGGAAAAAGGAUGGAUAGGGAGUUGGUGAGCGAUAGGAUGGUUUUCAUUGUUAGUAAUGGGAGGAGGGUGAGAUUUUGGAGGGAUAGAUGGUGCAGGGAUUCUCCUUUGUGUAUAUCUUUUCCUUCUCUUUUUGAUUUGACUGUUGAGAAGGAAGCGUGGGUGGCAGAUUUUUGGGAUCCUUUGGCUGAGGGGGGUUGGGGGGUGGGGGAGGGGGUUUGGAACCCCUAUUUUUUAAGAGCUUUCAAUGAUUGGGAGGUAGAGGAGGCGGAAAGAUUUUUGGAGAGGCUUCAUGGUAAAAGAGUUAUUGAGGAUGUGGAGGAUAUAGUGUCCUGGACUGAAACUAAGAGUGGUAAAUUCUCGGUCAAGUCUCUCUAUGUUGCCCUUGAAGCGGGUUGUUCAUCUCUGUUUCCUUCAAGCUAUAUUUGGAAUGUGAAUGUGCAGCCCAAGAUUAGUUUCUUUGCCUGGGAGGCUACGUGGGGCAAAGCCUUAACCUUGGAUAUGGUCCAGAAAAGAGGACGGGCAUUGGCAAAUAGAUACUUUAUGUGUCUUGAGAAAGAGGAGACCAUAAACCAUCUGCUCCUUCAUUGUUCAAGAACAAGGGUGUUAGGGGAUCUACUUUUUACCUUAUUUGGGGUGUCUUGGGUAUUGCCUUCUUCAGUUAGAGAGACCCUUCUAAGCUGGAAUGGUUUUUUCGUGGGCAAAAAACGCAAAAAGGCGUGGAGAGCUGCUCCUCUUCACAUUUUCUGGACGGUUUGGAAGGCGAGGAAUAGAUUGGCUUUCAAGGAUGAUAUGUUGUCAAUUCAGCGACUGAAACACUCUUUUAUCCUUUCUUUUUGGUCCGAUACUAAGUUGUUCAUAGAUGAUUGCCCUCUAACUAUAUCUAAUUUUAUUGAUUGGUUGGGCUCUAAGUAGGAUUGGGUUGUUGGGCUAUCUUUGUUUUUUAGCCUUGUUGGAGGCGGGUGUAUAGGUAUUAUAUACCUUGAGUCGCUUUUUUAGCGUUUCUUUUAUAUAUGAAAUCUUAUUUACUUAUCAAAAAAAAAAAAAUGUAAUUGAAGACUUUCACAUUAAUGAGGUAAUAAAUAACCACUGAUACUUCUUCACCCCAAAGUUCCUUCACAAAAAUUUGGCAAGUGAAGAACUAUUUCGGAGUUGUGAAGCACCAAUUCCAGCUUCAUUAUCUUGAUCUUCAGAAAGAGGGAUCCAACUUGAUUUGGGAUUUUAUACCUGUCAACCCAGUCACUAAUUUUUAGGAGAAUACUUCCAAUUUACCAUUGGGUUGCUUUAGAAAGUUUCUUAAUAGUGCCAUCUCUCUAGCUUAAGGGGCUUUUGUUAAUGGAAGGCAAAUACUAGAUGUGGUUAUCAUUAGUAAUGAAAUCCUAGACAAAUACUAGAUGUGGUUGUCAUUAGUAAUGAAAUCCUAGAUGAAAAAUUCUGUUCUAAGGACGAAGGGAUGGUUUUUAAAAUAGGUUUUGAGGAAGUUUGUGAUCACAUAGAUUGGGGUUUCAUGUAUGAUACAUACUUUGAAUAGGGAAGGCCUUGAACCUGGAUGGCACAAAGGGACUGGAUAUUUUGAGGUUGUUUUUCAAACUGCAGGCUCUUUAAUGGUGUUAUUGAAGCUGAGUGUUUAGCACUCGAGGAAGAUUCGGACAUGGUUGUUUGCCUGGAUGUAAUGAACCUCCAUAUUGAAGGGGAUUCCUUUGUUAUUGUCUCAGAACCUUCUUUGAAGGCAAAGGUCCUUAGUGGAUUGCUCAUCAGAUGGGGUGGCUUCAUAAUCAUGCUAGAGACAUUGCUUGUUCUUCUCUAUUGAGGCCCAGAUCAGCUAGCCAGGUGCAUGGCUAUAUUUUUCUUAUAGGGAUGCUAAUAUCUGAAAAUUUUUAUUGAGAACACUUACUGCUCUUUGAUUGGUUUGAGGCAUGGAGCGGCUUUUCUGUUCUCUUCUUGCCAUAAAUGCAUAUCAUCCCUCUUUUUGAUCUUGUUUAACUCAAUAAAUUCUCAUUUGUUAUAAAAAAGAGAUAUUAUGUUACAUGAUGGAAGGACUUUAUUCUGUUAUGGAAUAUGCAAAACCUAGAUCUAUUGGCUAGAGCUAUACAGUAGGUUGUUGGGCUGUUCAGCAUUGUCUCUUUUUUGGAUAGGUUUGGCCAAUGCCCCUUGAUGUUACUUUUUGGUAAUGUAAUUUUCUUUGAUUUUUCUUGAAAAUUCCUCAUUUUUCAAGCUUGCUUGUAUAUCUUUCCUGCUUCCAUUAAUGAUUGUUUGAUUCCUUACUAAAAUAAAUAACAAAUUAUGAUGCAAAAGGAUUACGUUUAUGGAAAAUUUUGAGAUUUUCACCAGAUUAGAGUCUCUGAAGCUGGUACUUGUCUUGACACAGAUAAUAGGAAUCGUUUUCCCCCCAAACUACAUAAGACAUGUCUGCUACUUGGUAAUGUUCCAUUGGCAGUUAUAAACUCUCCUGUCAAAAGUGAAUCUGUUGUAGCAUUCCAAAUGGUGUAGUGUCGUACAUAGAUUGGUAAUUGAGGACUUUAUUAUGGAUUUUGUCCUGUUCUGGUUGUGCCAACAAGUUCUAUCCUGUUCUUUGUCUUGCUGAUUUGGGUGGUUGUGCAUCAUGAUCCUACAGCUGUAUAAUUAUGCUUCAGGAGCAUAGUUAUUCUGGUUUUACCAUCCAGAUGAUGGUACUAAAGUAUUUGUAUUCUAGAUUGCACAACUCCUUAUAUGGGAUAUUUUUGCACCAAAUGCUUAGUGAUCAAGAGAACUCUCAUAUUAAACACAGUCAUCUUCUAUUAAACUAAAUUCCUUAAGUAUGCAGUCUCACAACUACAUCAUACCAUUCUUUUCCUUUUUUCUUCCUUUCUUGCUAUUACAGGUUGGUUGCCACUAAUAUAGUAGAAAGCAAAUUACACGACCCUGCUUCCAUAAGACCUUUCUUAUUCCAUAGGUUGAAAUAGAAAAAACACUUGAUGGGACUAAUGUUUCUUUUUGCAACCAAGCAAAUUAAAAUGUUUUGAAACCCAUGCUGCCAUGAUCGUAGGUAAUUUGCAUUUUAUAUGUCUACUCCUUUCUAUUUACCAUAAUGAUGCAUGCAUCUAGUCAAAUUGUGUAUUUCUUAUGCUUGUAUUUAUUUCCUGAUGAGUUUAUUCUGACUCUUUGAUCAGGAUUUCUGCAAUCACAUUGCUUGCUAUUGAAUUUUCAAUGGCUUAAUAUGAAUUAUUAAUAAAGAUGUUGUUUAAUUAUUUCAGCAGCUUAUACUUGGUAAUUUCUUUUAACAACUCUUAUCUCUGAUGUUCAUUUGUAAUAAAUAGCUGGAGAAAGGGCCCAACGUGAACGCCUUCGGGACUUGGCUGUGUUUGAGAGGUUACAUGGAAAUCCUGGGAAAACAUCUCCAAGCCUUGCUGUCAAAAAGGUAAACCCUACAUCUCAUUCCUCUAUACCGCAUCUUAGCUUCUCAUCUUGCAUCGGACAAUGAUACUCUUAUUGAAUCAUCUUUACCAUAUCAGCCAUCAACAUGUGCACUUAUUGAGCGCUAAUUCAGGCACUUAUACUUGUGCUUUUGUUUUGUUUUGUUUUAUCUUGUCUUGCUUUGUUUUGGAGGUGAUUGUGUUGGAUGACCUAUAUCUGUGUUAGACACCAAAGCCUAUCUUAAUGCUACUGUAAAGUAAGACUAUGCUAAUAAGCUAUUGAUCUGUUACAGGGUUUAUGCCAAACUGAUUUUUUAGUUUCUCUAGUAGAAAACUUGUUUUUUCCCCUGUUAUAUUGGUGCUAUUGUUGGAUUUGUGUUUGUUGUUGAUCAAGCAUUUGCUGAAACUUUUUUUUUUUUUUUCCUUUGCUUCUUGACGUGCAAAGCAUUAUUGUUUGAAUUUUAAUGAUCCCAUUUGAUUCACUAUUCAAUAUUUUUAUUUGAUAUUACAUCUAUCUCAUUUGUUUUCUUUUCUUAGUUUGUUUGGUUUUUUUUUUUUUUUUUUUGAAUUUGUGACAUUUGAAUUUGAUGGAGCCACCAUUAAUUUAUUUUUCCUUAUUAUUGUGGGGUGUGCUUUAUUUUGUUGUACUAUUAUUGUCAUGUAACUUUUCUUUUUUGUUUUGUUUAAUCUAUUGUUCCUAUGAGCAUUAAAUGCUUCUAAAAUGUAUGGAACAGGCUAAACCUUUCUAUAGUUUUUUUAAAAAAAACUCAUUUAUUAUCUAUUUUCUUGUGCUCAAAAAAUUAUAUUUUUUUAGUAAAAUUGAAAAUUUAGGGAGCUCUUAGGCCUCAGCAACUCAACCCCUUGAGGGUUUAGGCCUAUCAUAGCAAGAUGUAAACCCCCUUGCCUCUUAUGCUUUUACCUUAUGAAACUAUACCAAGAAACAAACACCACAACUCCCUGCUGCCAUCAAAGGAUACUUCAAAGUUUGCUUCAAAUCAAUCUUAAGGCUAAUUAUCAUAGGCUUGUCAUCAUGUCACUAAAAUUGGUAUUGUAACCAAAGUCCUAUUGCGAAAUCUUCAAGUUGCAGCUCCUCUUUUUCUGUUGGCUCUUGUAUUGUUAGGUGGCCGCAACCUGUUGCUUUUCUUAUGCUUUAUGAACUACUCCAGUUAAAAUAAUGCUCCAAGUAGAUGCUUUUUGGAUCUUGACUCUAGCAAGAGGCUUAUAUUGCAAAUUUUUUUGUGGAGGCCUAGAUAGGUUAACUAGGAAGACAAUAGCUUGCUUAAGAGGAUUGCCACCUCUCCUUUUGGGUUUGUAAAAAUUUUGGUUCUCCCUUGACCUUAGGAGUCCUGUGGUUUCAAUUUUGGAUGUGCUCUAGGUUGUAGCCUGUGUUAUGCUUUCUAAAUGGUAAUCUUCUUCUUGUUUUAGCUGGGAUGCUUUUGUUUAUUUUGCUCGUUUGCUUUCUUUGUUUCUUUAUUGUGGCUGUAGGAUCACCAAUCAACUUUUUAUUCUCUGCAAAAACUGUUUAUGUUUCAUAAUGAAAAAGGAAAAAACAAAGGCAAGUUAGCCUAGAAUAGGUUUCAUCUUGUUUCUUCUUUUACCAUUAGUGUGGAUUCGAACUCAGGAAGAGGCCUUCAAACAAGUGGCAUUUGUGUUUUUUAAACAUAUAUCUUUAUUCAAUCAUUAGUAAGUGUUUGCUGUCUUGUCUGUUCUUUUGGUUGUUUUUGUCUUUGUCAAAGUGUAUAAUUGUAAUAUCCCACACCGUAUAGAGGAAAAAGUUCCUAGCGCUAUAUAUGUAUGAACUUCUUUUAAUCUUGUUGAUUCGUUUUUAAGCCGCGAGGGUCGCUUAGGCUCAAAGCAAAUAAUAUCCACACAACUGGGAGUAGGUUGUUACAAAUGGUAUCAAAGUCAAUCCUCGACCUCGGUAGGAGAGUUUGCUUGGCCUAAAAUGGGUGUUCGUUUAUUUGACCCUACAAUCCUGUGGGACACAAUAAGGACGUUGUGUCUGCAUGAGAGGGUGAUUGUAAUAUCCUACAUUACAUAGGAGAAAAAGUUCCUAAUGUUAUAUAUAUAUAUAUAUAUAUAUAUAUAUAUAUAUAUAUAUAUAUAUAUAUAUAUAUAUAUAUUCCUCUUAACCUUGUACACAUAUUUUAAAGUCAUGAAGGCCACUUAAGCAUAGGAUGGAUAAUAUCUAUACGGUUGGCUGCAGGUUGUUACAAUAAUUACUUUUGAUUUUCCUUUCAUAUGUUUAAUUGCAUAAUAUUAUUAUAGCAAAAUAUUAAUCUAUCAUAAUGCAACGUCUUGUAAAGCUUAUGUUGGGUCUCAUGAUUUGAUCUCUUGUCAUUUUUAUUAUUAUGAUUCAACAUCAUCUUAGCUUAUAAUCAUUUAUACACUUGAUGCAUGAGAAAUGAAGAUGCCAUAAAUUGUAGGAUCUUUUUCUCCAAUUUGUUCCUUGAUAUUUUAUAAUGCCAUGAAAUGUCUAUAUUUUGAUGCAGAAAGCCGUUCACCCUCCAUCUCUCUCACUAGUUUUGCAGAACCAUUGCCACUAAGCACAUGCAGGCAUCAGAUGUGCGGCCACUUCCAGUGUUGGAAGAGACUUUGAACUACCUAUUAAACCUGUUGGAUGCCACGGAACAUCCUUUUGACGUGGUUCAUGAUUUCGUCUUUGAUAGGACAAGAUCAAUAAGACAAGAUCUUAGCAUGCAGAAUAUCGUUAAUGAUCAAACAAUUCAUAUGUUUGAAGAAAUGGUAUGAAUUUCUUGAAACAUAAUCUCAAUUACCUUUUUUUCUAAGCAUUCAUCUCCUCAACAUACAAUAAGUUAGCCAACCCAUUGCUAAACACUCUCCUAGUUGGAGAAAAUAAUCAAAGUAUACAAGAGAUAAAAUGUUGAAUAAUUGAGUCAUUAUCCUCUCCUUUUGCUUUAUUGAAUAAGAUAAUUUAUUCAGUGGAGUCCAAAUGAGGUGAAACUGUGAUCACACAACUUGAAGCCUACUUUACAAUGGAUAAAUGAAUGGUCUGAUUCUGAAUCUUUCUUGGCACAUUAGUUAUUAUCCAAUCCAUUCUAAUUAAAUUAUCCACUAUUAAGUGUCUAUUUCCAGUCACCCUCUAAGUUAUGAAAGACCCAUAGAACCAAAGCAACUCACACCACCUGUGAUAGGAAUUGGUGCUCUCUUCCAUAAUGUCAAGUUUUCCAGUACACUUGCUGACUUUGUAGAAUAUGCCUACAAAAAGGGCUGCCACCUCCUAAUUCCCAAUCAUAGAAGUUUCUUAACCAUAUUUCAAAAGUUGUAUUUCCUGUUCCCUCUCUUAAAGUUUUUUAAACCUAUAUAUCUUUAUCCUAGUAAUUCGGAAAAAUGAGGAAAUUAUUUAACAAGAACUCCAUCAAUUUGUUCCUCAAAAUUUUAUAUAGUUUCUCUCUCUCACUUUUGAUUCAAAUUCUUAAAGCAAAGGAACAAAUUCAUGGCCAGUAACAUUUUUAGCCAAGCAAUAGAAUGCACAACAAGCAUGCAUAUGAAUGAAUUGUGUUUUUUGAUGAUAAUAGAUCAAAUAUUUUAAUCUCAUCCUAAAACCUUUGAGUUAGCUAAAAGCCGCAUCUUAUGUUCUGACUUGUGGUUUGUUUCAUAAUAUAGGUGAAAUUUCAUAUUAUAUCCCACCACAAGCUUCGCAGUUGUAGCAGCAAGCGAAGUUUUUCUUCAGUUCAUUACCUCAAUAUGGAGCAGCUGAAAAAGUGUCUGAUAUCUCUAUAUGCUCUGUACAAAGAAAAUCGAAAUUCAAAUUCUAUUUACAAGAAUGAACCUGAGUUCUACUCAUUUCACGUUCUUCUUCAUCUUGGCUCUAACAGCCAACCAUUGGUGGAUACUUGCUUCCAUUGUUUGUUUGAGUUCAUCUUUUUCAGUAUCUCUUGCUGCCUUGUAUUGGUUUCUGAAUAUGUUACUAUUUCUGUUCUGAAGGGAGAGUCACUCUCUUUAUGGUUGGGUCGUGUACCUUCUCUCAUUUUGAAGUCAAAGGAAAUGUGUUUUGCUCGGAGACUUUUAAGGUGACCACAAAGCUAUUAUAGAUUCGACUUGCAUUUAAAUUGUUUAUAUUCAUUUUACAUUUAACUCAAUGUAGAGUGGUUCUGUUUUCCAAUCGAUUUUUUUCUCUUCUUUUAGUACCCAAUGUUAAAAAUUUUGUUUUCAUGAACUGAAAGAUCUGUCUUUUCUUGUAACAGAUUAUUUCGGAUGGGCAAUUAUAAGCGUUUCCUUUGUACUACAACAACUGAGGCAUCUUAUUUACAGUACUACAUAAUUGAACCUUACAUCAAUGAGGUUGCUUAAAUAUGUUGAUUUUGCUAGAUUUUUCAGUUUGAAAAAUAUAUGCUUCUUUAUUGAUUUAUUGUUUUCCAAUUUCAUUUAUGAGAAUAUAUCUAAAAUCUAGACUUGAGUACUUAUGCUUUUAGGUUUUAUUUUUCUUUCAUUUUUGUUAGUAGUUGUACUUCAUUAUUCUUAAAUUUCUCACCAGUUGUUUCUUUAUGUGGUUUAUUGCUCCUCACUUUCUUCAUUCAUCUGAAGUGUUCAAAUUCAAUUUGCUUGUUUCAUAAACCAGGUCUUAUUUAGAAGUUCUUCUCAAUUCCCUUUUUUAGUGCUUCUAAAAGACAUGCCUGAUUUAUAUACAUUUUUGUUGGUUUUCUUUUGACCGUAAAAGGUUCGAGCAUUGGCAUUGUCAUGUGUAAAUUAUUGUGGCUACAAACUUCAUCCGUAUCCAAUUGCACACUUGUCCAAACUCUUGAUGAUGAAGGUAUGAUUGCAUUUACUAGCAUUAAAUUGCUAAAAUUUGUCAUCCAAAGUUCCAAUAUCUUUUGAACCUUAAAGACUUCAUUUGCAUUUUUGUAGGAAUUAGAUGUGGAAUCAUUUUGCAAUGCUUGUGGUCUUGAGACCAGCACUGAUGAACGGGGAAAUAAGUUCUUAUCAACCAAGCAAACAAACUUCCAUUAUCCCAAGGAAGUCUUUCCAAGCUAUUGCCUUUUGGGUUUGGAACACUUUUAGAGGUAACAAUCAAUUGGAACUAGUUACUCUUUCAAACUUCUUAUUGUACAAAUAUAACUUGCAUGUGCAACCAUUUCUGAUCCCAUAAUUUCAAGAAUUUAUGACACCUUCUAGUGGUUAGUUUUUUUGGGAAUAGAGUAAAGCAAUCUAUUCACUCCCAGAAACUAUCGUCAAAGGAACAGUAGAUAACCCCGCAAGACCAAAUUUAUGUGUGUGCAUGGAGAUGCAUGUUUUCUACAUCCCAAUCAUGCAGUGUUGUGCCAAAUGGAAUAAUAGCAACUGAUGAUAAGUGGUAUUUCUAAAAUCUUCUAAGAGUAUUCCAUCUAUUGUAAUAUUGUUUUCUCAAAAUUGUCUUUGAGUCUUAUGUGUAAAUAUUAGAGUUGACCUCUUGUAAGCUAUCAACUGAUGUUGUAACUUAACUUGAAAGGGAAAUUCUAUAAAUUUAGCCUUGGUUUGGCUCUUGGAAAGCAAAGAAAAAUUAGGUUAAUAGUGAGUUGAUUUCUUCCCUUCCCAUGGAUGUAAGCACAUUCUUGAAUCAUGUUAAUUAUUUUUUGGUUUAUUUUGUUGUUUUGUUGUUUAUUGUUCAAUUGUCUCCGCAUAACAAGUGGUAUCAGAGCUGUUUCCAACACAACAGAUGAUUCCUGUGCUAACACAAAGUUUGAGGCUAAAUGGAAGAUGGUAAAAGUUUCUAGAAUAUUUCCCUAUGACAACUACCAAUAAAGGAUGUACUUAAUAGGAAGUUCAUAAGGUGUUACAUGGCAAGUUGAACAAAACCAAUAGCUAGAGAUAUCUGAAAUAUUUGGGGCCACUGAUCCAACAAUAGCAGAGAAUAACACAAGAAGAGACCCUCUAAUCACCAUUUUUGCUUUGAUUCUUCUCUACAAAGCAUCAUCUCCUUUAUACAAAAAGACAACCCAUUGCUGAGCCCACAUUAUUCUCUACAUAUCCCAAAAAAGCCCUCCAAAUUUUAGGGCAUGGUGCUCUUUUUAGGGGUAUUUUGGUACUAAAUUUGUGGUAGUCUCUCAAAUACCUAAACUACCCUCCAGAUUUUAAGGCAUGGCCCACUCUUUGAGGUGGUAUUUUGGGUACUAAUUUUUGUUAGGAGAGGUUUUGGUGUGGAAACUGGAGGGCUUUACACACGUUGCAUGUAUUUUCUUUUGCAUGCAUUACACAUAGAUUGGAGUUUAUGCAGUUACUCACUUUUUGUUCGUCCAACAAUACUGUAGUGCCACGUCACCAUAUGAUGGGCUCUUUAGUCUUUUCAAACCCAAAAAAAACACCAAAAAAAAAAAAAAAACUAAUACUAAAAGGAUUGCUAACUAGCUAUGUGAAGACGAACCUCUAUAGCUAGCUUCUUAGAGGGACCAUGAUCGCUUAGGCCAAGGAAGUUUAAGGUGAUAAUAUGUUUGUGAUGCCCUUAGAUGUUUUAGGCACACGUGCGUUACAUUAAUGUAUUCAAUGAGUCUCUAACCUUUAUUGACAGGUCCGAGUAAUCUUUGAAAUUUCAUUGUGAUGGGAAGGUUCCAUGUGAACAACACUUGCACAUGGGUUAGUCAAUCUUAAGAGACGGGGGAAGCUCAUCUAACAGCACACAAUGUGCGAGCUUUGAAAGGCAAUCAGGUUAACAUUUCUGAAUUGGGACAUGACAGCGGACAACAAUAUUAGGUAGUCCAAAGAUGUCGUUAUAUUAAUUGUUAUCAAUAUUUUUAUUUAUUCAAUAGAGAUUGAGGAUUAAAAAAAUACCACAAAAAUUAGAAAAAACAAAAUUAAUUACAUGGCUUACAUUUCAAAUAUUUAAUAAAAUAUUGUAUGAAAGUUGAAUAUCAUACACUAUUAAAUAGUUGGAUUCUCUUCUUUAAUUUUUUUAAUUGUCUCAUCCUAUUAAAUUACUCAUCUAAUAUUAAUUUAUUUUAAAGGUAAAAUUAAUUAUAUUGUAAAAAACUUUUAACUGACCAGAGUUUGUGCACAACAUCUAAUAUAUACUUAAAUAUAAUCCUCCAACUAAGAAAUGAAAUCAAAACUUAAAAAUCAUUUAUAUAUAUAGAUAUAUGUUAUCAAGUUUAGGUAGUGAAGCAAUUAAUGUGGUAUAAAAUUAAUGCCAAAACUUUUGAUUGUUCCUUCACAUUCUCCACAACCAAACAAAGGAUAUAAGAAAAAUAAAGAAAGAAAUUUAGGGUAGUUUGAUUUUUGUUCUCAUCUUGUUGUGAAGUUAAUAGAGGAAUGCUUGGGUUGGUGCUCGAUAGUUAAGUGAUAGCAGGGUAUAAUGAUUCUUCCAAUCGUGUAAAUAUUAUUUGUUUUAAUUUCAAUGGAUCAUCGUCACUUUAAAUUGCAUCCACAUGGUUAAGAGCAACUCAUAUGUAUAUAAUAUCAUGAAUUUCUUCUUAUUCGAUAUGGAAUAUCAAAUUAGGUAUCUUUCAAUUUUAGGUAUUGUGUAAGUGUUUCAACUCAAAUGACUUGGCUUAAUGUAUACUCAAAGCCUUGACAAAGGAACGUAUAUGUAAUAAAGUGAAAAUUAAACCUUGUCGCCCUUCUAUCUCUGGUAUGAAACACAAGUCCAUUAUCCCUUAAACAUGUGCAAAAAAAGAUAUACACCUCUGAUACAUUAAUUAAAAUAAACGAUAGAAAAAGAGACUUUAUAUAUCCAUGUACAUAAUUUGAUUAGAUUUGUUAUAUAUAGAGAGAAAAAAAACUGUUUAGAUUAAGGAUCUCAUUAAUUAAUACCUAGAAAAUAUAAAAGAAUAAGAAAAGAUUAGAAGGUGUGAAUCAUAAGAUAAGACUACAUUUUUUAAUUAGAUUCAUCGAAAGAUGGCAUAUUGUAUGAACAUUUUUACUCUAUAUAUAAAAACUUAUAUUAUGGUUGAGAUAUAUUAAUUUGUCAUAUUUUUGGACAUUUAAAGUAAUGAGCAAUUACACUAAAUUAAAUUAUUGACCUUAUUAAUCAAUACCUCAAGAGUAUAAAAUAGUAAUAAAUGAAUAAUACAAACUUCAUCGAAAUAUUUUUAUAAGCACAUUACGUAAAUAUUCUUAUUUAAUAAAAGUUUAUAUGUCAUUAAAUGAAUAGAGAAUUUUAACAUUUAUUGCAGUGCUAAGUAGAGGAGAUCCUAUUUUUAAGCUGUUGAUUAAGGCUUAUUUGAUAAAACUUAAUAUUUAUUACUUAAUAAUUUAAGUUGACUUUAAGUUAUAUUAUAUUUAAGUUAUUUACGUAAAAUUUAUUAUUUAAUAUUUACUUUAAGUAUUAAAGUUAUUUGAUAAAGUUAAUUUAAAAAUCAUUUUAAAUUAUCAAAUUGUCAUAUUUACCUUCAUUAAUUUGGUAACUAGAUGCAGAUAAAUGAAACAAAAAAAAAAAUUUGAGAUUAAGAAUAAGUUAAUUACUUUGAUUUAACACUUAAAAGUAACUUUAAGAUAUAAUAUUAAGUUAUUUUAUCAAAUAUAUUUAAUCUACUUAAUAAUUAAAUUAAGUUAUUAAGUUAAUGAAUGAUUACCAAACACCCUAUAAGACCCAAAAAAUCGAAUGAGUUUUAAUAGUUUUUAGGAUGGGCAUGACUAGGUGGUGGUUCAAUGCUGAUUAAUCAUAAUUCAAUCAAGGCAAAAUAUGUAACAAAUACAUGUCAAACUGCACCAUCCAAAUGGGCGCCAAGAACGUUACAUUUGACAAAUGCCAUUACACCUCUACAGCUAGCAAUUAUUUUGAUCACAUAAAAAAUGGCAAAAAAGUGUGUUGUACUUCAUCUUGAAGCUCAUUAACUUCAUCUUAAUUUGAUCCGAAUUGCAGAAACAUGUGAAACUCCAUGAAUCUAUGGUGCUAUGGUGGCCUACGUUCAUAUAACUGGGGACACUUUGGUUUACACUACAAUGACCCCAAACAGGGUUUGUAGAGACUUUAUCAAGAUCACUAGCUUCAAAAGACUAAGGAAAGAAACAUGUUCUCAAUGAAAACUUGGAGUCAAAUUGCAGAUAAAGACCUAAAACUCCCACUUAAUGUGUUUGAGGAAUUGUUGUUUCAUGGGGAUAAGCUGUUUGGUUUGUACGUGUCUCCUUGGUGAUACUUAGAGAUCGGUGAAGUAUACGUAUCCUUUGUGAUCUGGUUUGUAUAUGGGCAGAUGAAUGUUGAUGCCAGGUUCAUAUAUGUUUCUGAUAUAUAUCACCCUGGAAGGAUCUAGAUCAAGGGGAUGAGUUUCAAAAGCUUGAGUAGGUUUAAGAUGUUCCGAGAAUUGGUGAGCAUGAUAUAUAUCAAUACGAUAUUGCAGAAGACAACAGAGCUUCUGAAAUUAAUAUGUCAGGUUCAAUAGUAGGAAAUCUUAUCAGCUGUCACUUACUGUAAUCGUAUGCUCUAAAUAUUCAUUUGUUGAAGAAGAAAAAAAAAAUUUGCUUUCACACUAUUCAAUUACAAGAGAAUGUUCAAUUAUAGAAGAAAAUAAUAUUCGCUAGUCUCUUUCAACUUAAUCAACAUGCAGAGAAAAGCAGUGAAUAAUAACUUACAUACAUUGUCUCUCUACCCCUACUUGUUACUCAUCAGCCAAGCUUAUGGUAAUAUAAGCUUGGGUUCAUCUCUCUAUGCCACUGAUGAAAACUCCACAUGGGCUUUGCCUUUCUGGUGAUUUUGCAUUUGGAUUCCGACCCUCUCCAAGUGAAGAGGACCUAUUCCUUCUUGCUAUCUGGACUGCAAAUGGAAGUUAACUGGUGCCCAGAGGAUCAAAAGUUUGGGCUUACCACCAAUGGACAGCUUGUUCUCUAGAGGCUAAGAUAUAUGGAAGACAAAGACUGGUAAUGUGAGCAGCGAACCAGUGCAUGGUGCCGUGCUUGGACAUGGAAAUUGUAUACCAGUAUGUGGGAGAGCUUCAAGCACCCAACUAAUACCAUAUUGCCAAUCCAGGGAUUGGUGUUGGAGCCUACUGUGCAGUUGCUAUUUUUGAGGACCUGAGGUUUGCAAAUGGAACUGGAAGCUGUUGGAGGAAAAGACUACCUCUUUCAAAUGGGAGGUUGGAUCAAACUGCUGUUUCCGGAAGUGCUCUAAUCAAGAUAUUGAAGUCCAGUGAACUAACUUCAGGCAGAUGCAAGCAAAAUAAAGCAAUUCUAAUACUCUCAGUCCUCUUAGGCCCCUCUGCGUUCUUCUUCUUCGUUUCUCUGGCUGCAAUUUCACUAGUUUUCUACCGCUUGAACCUCAAAAAUCUGCAGCUUUAUCACAGAAUCCUGAGUACAAGCGAUGGUAGAAGUCUUUGGCACUGUCUAUAAAGGGAUAUUACCAUCAGGUUCUGGAAAUUCUGUUGCUGAAAAGUUGGAGAAGGUGGUGGGAGAAGAUGAGAAAGAAUUCAAAGCAGAAGUGAAUGUGAUGGGCCAAACUCACCAUAAGAAUCAAGGACACUUGCUGCGUUACUGUUGUGAGGGUGAACACUGACUACUGGUUUUUUUUUGUGCACAAUGGCUCUUUAUCAAGCUUCCUUUCUGGAGGCGCCCGAGGACUUGUGUACCUACAUGAAGAAUGCAGUAUACAGAUCAUCCAUUGUGACAUAAAGCCCUCAGAACAUAACUCUUGGAUGAUUCUUUUACAGCCAAAGUUGCAAACUUCGACUGGGAAAGCUUCUGAUAAGCAACCAGACUAGAACACUCACAGGCAUCAGAGGGACUAUGGGGUAUAUUCAGACAACUCGGACACUUAUAAUAACACGUUAUGAAGCAUCAGCUCAAUGCCAGGGUUCAAUCUGCAAAGCAAGGGAUUCAUCAAUGUUUCCUUCAAACUAAAUAAUAAGGAACAGAAAUGGAUCAUUCUGCAUUUUCAGUGGUGUUUGUUAUAGCAUUUAUACAAGAACUCUAGGGGUUUCUAUGUAUAACUUCAUUCCUAUUUUGUAUAAUCCAAAUCUCUUCAAUCGAUUUAAUGUAUAAAUGAAUCCUAUUCAUUGUUUGGAGUAACAACAAAAUUCUGUAAGACUGGGAAAGUUUCAACACUGGAGAGAAAACAAAAUGACAAGACCAUAAAUUCUGGAAGAGGCCUUUGCUUUCUAACCAUUACCAUAAUUUUAGAGCUCAACCCGGAUGAGUAAAUUAUAUUUCAGAAUGUUCAGGAGACAAUUCUAAAGUGAUGAACCUUCUACUCACAGUUUCUUGUUCUUCUUGAACAGAGCAAUGAACAUCAAUAGUUCAGCACCCAGGAAUCUCCCCUUCCUCCAAUUCCUCCACUGGGAAAAGUCACCUUUCCAGUUAAGAAAAUCAUCAGGAUUAAUUUGAGCAAAACAUCAGAGUAUACAUCAAGAAAGCCUUGAUCAAAAUCAAAAUACAUCAACAAGUCAACAACUAUCAAUCAGUAAGGAAAAGGAAAAGGAAAAGGAAAUACCUUUGGAUAUUUACAAAUCAAAAAUUUGAGAGAGUCCAGCUGCUCUGUACAGAAAGGCUUGAGCUUAUUCCAUGGCCCAGGCUUUAGAUGGUUCUGAAUUACGGACGAGAGGGUUGAGUUUUCUUUCAUUCUGCAAUAAGAUUAAAAACAUCAAUGAAACACUAAAAGUUUGUAUAUAGAAGCCCUUCUAAAGAUAAGAAUUGGUAAGAGAGCUCACCCAUGGUCUAGUAAAACAACAUCUGUUAGAUAAGUAACCACCAUUCUAUUGUCCAGCUAAUGCAUUUAGAUCUAAGAUAACAUAUGGAAAAAUAGUCGAAAAUAGCUAAAGACAGUCCAAAAACUCAUUUGACUAAUAAUUUUUUAAAAACAGAAACAUAAAACCAGGAUGAAGAAUCCACCCCUCUCCUUGACACCACUUCAAUACCAAAUAAAAUGUUACAAUGACCAUUUAUGGUCUUAAGAGACAGUGGAUGUUGUUUGGGCUCAAGACAUAAGACAAGCCAAAAAUCAAGAAGAAAACAACAUCAAAAUUGGCACAGAAACAAGUACAUCAACUAUCUAAUAAAGAGAUUUAUGCAUGUAACAAAUGCAAAUGAAAUAUGAUACAAGAUUUUCAUGGAUUAAACAAAAAUAGAUGGCAAAAUAGAAGGAUAAGGUCACAGACAGGACAAUAUUAAAAGAAAUUAUUAUUUUUCCGACCUGAAAAUCGAGGCAUUCAGAACAGUACAAGUUUGUAAGUAGUCCAUGGAAACCAGGGAACAUAUGCAGAUGUUGUAUUCUAUUGCAUAAGGCAAACACUCAAUACUUACAAGCAUAAUCAUGCCCAGAAAGCCAUGAAUCCCUUUUUGUUUUGCUUUUUUACCUAUUCCCAUCUCUUAUGGCCAGAAGUGCCCAGGAUGAUAUAACCUCACCAAAUAAGUUAGAAACCAGCCCAUUCAGCAGGUUGAGUAGCCAGCUUGCCCUCAAUCUUCUUUGAGUCAACAAACAGCUGGGCAUUAUUGCCUCCAAUGGAGGGUCUGGAAAUAUUAGAGCCGGCAGCAGGGGUGGCUGUAAAACUCUCUGUUCCAAAACCCCAAGUUUCAGGGCCAGAAGUUCCUUCUGUGGCUGGUUUGUUGUGAUGGCCAUUUCGGGUCCUAACAGACUUGCUAUUGUUGUCUGGGCACCUGCCUCAGAGAAAGCCUGCCAAAGAUCAGAGUCUGGGCCAGGGGAAACGGAUUUUCUUUGCUGGAGUUCCCAGUCUGUUGCUUCAAUCUUUUCUCUGUGCUGUUAUGAGAAGAAAACCUAUCAGACACAUGAAUGGGUACAAAAAGGUAAACUUCAGGUUUUGGUUCUAUUGAAAAGCACAGGAAACUUCACAAGAGGCAAAUUAUACCCCAGAAAUUGACUUACCCAAAUGUCUACUUUCUCAUUUAUAGGUUUCCUCCUAAUCAAAUCCCCACAUCUAGGACAGGAAAAGGAAGAAACUGGGAGUCAACAUUUUUUCAACCAAAAGCACUAACUUACCAAAAAACAUAGUUUUCCAUUCAACCUCGGGAGCUGUAUGUGCAGGUGUACUGUACUUUCUGAUAUUGUCUUCUUCAAUGCCCAUUUCUUCAGGCUUCUUAAAGUGCUUAUGAUUGGUGGAGGUGCUUCCAAAAUUACACAACUUCCAUAAUCCAUUAGGGCCCAAUAGAAGAUUCUCAGCAUUUAUAUAAGAACUUUAGGGUUUAUACCAAUGAUCAUGUUACAGUAUAAAUCAUAGUGAACUGGUGGAAUUUGAUCAUUUAGCCAACCUCAUCAAAAAACUGUUUCACAGUUGAGGGGAUUGUUAACCUUCCCAUGGGCCAAGCAGCAAUUUCUGAAACUGAUCCUGAAAUCAAAAAUCCCACACAAGUAGAUAUUUAACAGAAGAGGAUCCGAAUCUCUUCAAUUGAUUAAUGUAUAAAUGAAAUAAUAAAAAAUUUUAGAGAUAAUUAUAGGGAGAUGAACCUUAUACCUCUGAGUUUCUUAGUCUUCUUGAACAGAGCAAUGAGCAUCAAGUGUUGAGCACCCAGGAAUCUCCCUUCCUCUACAGGGAAAAUCUGAACAAUCUAUCUUUCUUCAUAUUCCACUUCCUUGCAAAAGUCAAAACAUGAAGAAAAUAUCAUCAAAAUUGAGACAAAAAUAAGUGCAUCAACUGUCUCAAGAAGAGAUUUAUGCCUAUUGCUUACCUUUUGCAGAAGUCCACUUGGUUAGAGCACAUUUUACAUGGACGCCCAAUCACUGCAAGCUGCUGAACCAAAGGAGGUUCAAACAUCUAAAAAAUUUGACUAACUCAAGUAUCAUAAAAAUGCUUCACAUGAAUUCCAAAUGAUCUCAUAUCUAAAAAACAUUGGCAUAAAAUUAUUGUUGUUUACCUUACAUGUUUCUUCCAUGGUCAUAAUUGAAACUUUGUUUAUCAUAACAAAUCUUCUAUGCUCAUCCUGAUUACUUACAAUGAACACUGAAAUGAAAAGAAAAAAAAAACACAAAAAAUGACGAUUAGUUUGGUUUGAUAAAUUUAGCACACACAAUUCCCUUUUUCUUGUAUGAAAAAGGAAAGAGUAAAAAAAAAAAUGAAUUUAAUAAUUUUUUAAAACUAGCAAUUAUAAAACUAGUUUGGUUCUCAGAAAAUUUAUGGGAAAGCAGGGAAAAAAAAGUGUAAACUUUUUCUCUUGUUUGAUUGUUUAUGGGAAAAUUGAGGGAAAAACAAAUAUUUAUGAGGAAUCUAUUUAACACUUUUGAGGAACAAAAAAUGUUUUAGAUGUUGUCAAAUCGAUAAUUUAAAUGUAUUUAAUUCCAAUUAAAUAAGUUUAAUCAAACACAUGAAAUGAAAUUGUGAAUAAAAUUAUUUAAAAGCAUUGAAAUUCAUGUCAUUAAAGUUGUCCAUAAAAUUUGGUAUAUUAAAGCAAGAAAAAAACAAAGCAAUUUGAAUGACUUGCUAAUAAAGCAGCUAACUAGAAUAUGCCCUAGAGUUGUUCUAUGUAUAUAAGAAAUAAACAGAGAACACAAUAAAUAAAUAAAAAACCAGAAAAUAAAAUACAAACAAACGAAAAUAAACAGCGUUGUUCAAUGGUUAUAAAUGGUUAUUUUUGCAAACCACCAAAUCAAAACAGAGCAUGAAAACGUGUUCAAUAUUUGUUUCAGGCUUGAAGCAUCAAGAAAAAGAAAAUCUUAAAUCAAAUAAAUAGGACUAGCGAAUGAAUUGGAACUUGAAAGAAAAGUUCAAGUGCAAAAGAAUUACCUGACUCUAUAUUGGCGGAGUGGCACUUUGAUUAAUAUAGCACACCAUUGAUCAUUAUUUUUGGAAUGUGAGCUAUAUAACGCCAUUCUUCCCCUUUCUCAAAUUGACACCGUUUUUCCAGUAGAGGACACCCGUAGAUCCUCAGAAAAGAGAGGGAGUCUGAAAGUCUCUCUUUUGUCAAGUAUUUGAGCUUACGACAGAUCAUGAUCUCCAAUGUUUUAAGAGAGGUGAGGUGUUGAAGACCCACUUUUUUCAAGGAUUGGAGCAUUGGGCACUCAUGGAUCCACAAACUUUCAAGAGAGGUGAGGUGUUGAAGACCCGCUUCUGUCAAUGAUUGGAGCCUCGAGCAUUGACAAAUUACUAAUCGUUUUAGAGAGAUAAGGUGUUGAAGAACCGAUCCUGUCGAGAACUGGAGCUUUGGGCAGAAGUAGAUCCUUAAUUCUAAAAGAGAGGUGAGUUGUUGAAGACCCCCGCUGUCAAGAGACUUGAGAUUUGGAAGAUUCCAGAUUUGAAGAGAAGUCAGAGAAGAGGGCAGCAAACACUCUUUGGGAAAUAAUUCAAUGUCUUCACAUCCACCUUUGAUUAUGAAAUGAGUAAGAGAGGUCAGCCUUUGCAAACCCCACUCCACCUGGGGCGUGAGUUGGUUGCACUUCUUAAUUUCAAGUUCACGUAGGUUGGAAGGCAAACCCUCUCUCUGAAACAACAAUUCUGGACAAUCAUAUAAAUUCAAGUACUGUACAGAUGACUGUCUGUGUGCCAAUGACCUGAGCUUGGAGCACCUAUGAAUCGAACAAGACUUCAAGUUGAGAGCGCGUAAUUCGAUAGAUUCAAGAUCAGAGCAACCUCUUAGACGCAGGGAACAUAAAGAUGUGGGAUCACCCUCUGAAACCAAAAUCGAGAGCUUCUCAAGCCCAUUAAGACCAUUGAUUUCGAAAUCAGUCAACUUGGGGAAGAUGCCUAAUGAGAAGGAUAACGACAGAGAAUCAUCGAUAACACCACGUUCGAUGAUUAGACGUUCAAGGACUGGGAGAUGGCAUCUGAACAACUCAGGUACGAGAAACGCUAAUUUCGAGCAGUUAUAGAUUAACAGUGAUUUCAGUGUAGUGGGUAAACCAACUUUGUGCAGGGAUCUAGAAAAAAUACAAUCACAGAUUUUCAGAUCAUGAAUGUUGGUUUGCGAGAUUUCCUCCUCUAGCAGAGACUCCACAUAAUCACAUUUUCUAAUUGACAGCUGGUGUGGUGCCAUUGGAAGUUGACUCCACUGAGACACAUCUAAAAUUUCAAUUUCUGAAGUUUGAAGAGGUGUGAAGUCACAACCUGGCAUUUGCAACCGCAGUUUACCAAAAUCCACCAUCCUCAACUGACGAAUUGCAGGAACUGUGAGUGAAGCCAUAAGCAGCUGCGGACAUCCAUCAAUUUGAAGUUCCACCAAUGAAAGAAGCUGUUCUGGUAAUUUCCCAGUGAGUUUGGGACACUUUCGUAUAAAAAGCUUUUGGAGACGAGGGAAUUCUCCACAACAUAACCAUUUCUCCCAGUUCUUCAUAUCCUCAAAUGAUAGUGUUUCUAGGAAUUGAAAGGAAGCAUUCUCAUAUAACUCAUCACCCACACACUCUACUCCAUUCAUCCUUGAGAUUUGCAGAUAUUUAAGCUGGGUUAGCUGUCCAAGUGGUGGCAAUGUUGAGCAAUUGCCACAACCCCGAAGCUCAAGGGACACGAGAUUCAACACUGAAGGAUCUCCAAGCCAAUUUGGAAAUCCUUCACCAGGAUAGUUUGUGAUGGAGAGUUGUUUUAAAUUUGGAUGAGGUUGUAACUUGUUGAGUAUAUCAUGCGUUGUUGCACCACUUUGUGUAACACCACUGGUACCCCAACCAAAGAUUAACUCAUAAAGAUAACUUUUAUCCUUCAUAUUAGCCCUUAAUGCAUCAUUAACACUCACCACAUUCUCCAUGUUUGAAAUACAAAGUUUUCCUCGAAUCUCUGACAGCUCCCCCAAUUCUCCAAUUCUUAAUCCAUCGUUUUGGCCCACAAUAAAUUGAGUCAACCUUUGUAAACUUUUUAAUCGACCAAUUCCAUGACUUGACAUUUCUCUCAAUGAACCACAUCCAUCAAUAUCAAGAUAGCGCAAAUUAAUCAAUUUUCCCAUCUUUGAAGGCAAUUCAUCAAGUUUUGAACAAUUUCUCAGCAUCAUCGUUUGUAAAUUGCAUAAACAACAUGCUGAUUUAGGUAAUUUUUUAAUCCUCGUGGAAGACAAAUCCAAGUAACGCAAAUGUUUUAAAUUACCUAUCGAUUUAGGCAAAUCAGUUAUUGUAUAUGCACAUAAUGAUAACACGCGUAAACACCACAUUUUUGGUAAUAUAUCUUGCAAAACUCUUUUACUCAACUUAUACAAAGGAAGAUCAACCCAUGGCUUCACUCUUAAGAAUGUCCGAAGAGAUUUAGCUUUAGGGACAGCCUCAAAAUUCUUAAAUGCAACAAGCCUGGUAUCAUCACUAUUAAAGUACAAAAAGUGGCGAGCCUUCUCAGAUACUUCUGGUGGUAACUUAUCAUCAUCUUCCACUCGAGCACAAAAAUCUCCAGACACGUAUUGAGCCAAUUCAUGUAUUAGAUCAUGCAUUACAAAGCAUGAUCCUUCUAUUCCAAUAGAUUUUUGAAAGAAAGACUUGGCAAGAAGCUCAUCAAAAUAUGACUCACCGAUCUCUUCCAUUCUCCUUCCUUUGUUUUGUUGUGCAUGUAAAAGACCUUCUGCCAUCCAUAAUAAAAUCAGCUCCUCUUUGUUGAAUUGGUGGUCCUGGGGAAAAAUAGAACAAUAAGCAAAACAAUGCUUCAGAGGUAAAGAAAGAUGAUGGUAGCUUAAUAUCAAAGACGGAAGAAUUUCGGAGCCACGCUGCGGAUGCCAUAUUUCACUUCUCAACACAUCGUCCCAUUCCCUUUUUUCGUCCUUAGAAUACAAGAGACAGCCGAGUGCUUUCACAGCCAAAGGCAAUCCUUGGCACUUGUCCACAAUCUGUCUGCCUAUGCGUUGAAGCUCAAGGUAUGCGUUGGGGUCUCUAUCUUCAAAUGCAUGCUUUUUAAACAGGGACCAACUAUCUUCAGAGCUUAAUUCCCCAAGAUGAUGAGUAGGGACUGCUCGCAUGGUUGUUGCAACAGAUUGAUCACGACUGGUCACGACAAUCUUGCUUCCCUCUGCUGCGAGGAGUGGAGUUCGUAGAAUAUUCCAAACUUCACGAUCACUAAGCUCCAUAUAACCUUCAUCACGAGGCUUCAAAUUCCAGACGUCAUCAAGAACAAGCAGAAAUUUCUUGUUACGAAGUUGCUCUGUGAGUUGAAGCUGAAGCAAAUUUAGGUUGUCAGCGGAAGUAGGUGGAGAACCAAUUUCCUCAAGAAUUGUUUUGGUGAGUUUGAUAAGGAAAAACUCAGUGGAAACACAGACCCAUGCUUGCAAGUCGAAGUGUUUCUUCACUUCCUCAUUUUUAUAGAGACGCCGAGCAAGCGUGGUCUUGCCGCUGCCGCCCAUGCCCACUAUGGACAUCACCCCCAUUUUGUCGCCUGUUGUAUUGUCAGAACGCAACCACUCCACCAUCUCCUUCUGAAUUCCAUCCCUGCCGACAAAAAUGGAGUCAUGCUCCAAAGAAGUGGUUAUUGGUGAUCUUGGUCUUGGUGACCGUUUCUCGCCCCCACCUUCUGCCAGCCCCAACCCAACUUUUUCUAGUGCGAUUUUUUCCAGUUGAACAAUCAUGCCCCUGACCCUGGACUCCAUGCUUUUGAUAGCAAAUGGGGCCUUCACAGAAGCAGAGAACUUCUUCCAUUUCCACGCCUUAAGAGUUCCGUCGGUAACGAUCUCGUCCAGCAGGUCUUCCGCACCAUACACAGCAUCCUUGACAGGGACGAGCCACUCUUUGACAUUUGGGUUCGAAAAUUGCUUCACCUCCGCAUCAUCGAGCACAUUGUGAACAACCACGAGUUUCCUCUUCAACUCGUUGAGGAGUUCAUCGCUAAGGCUCCGUCGCCGAAUGAAGUUUAUGAGCUCUGGAGAAGCCAACCUUUCGAAUAGAACUUGAAGCGAAGUUGAGAGGAGGGCGUCCGCCAUAUCUGUGUCGACUGUUGCUUUGCAAUAGGAAUUCAGAGGAUUGGUUUCUGUUACCGCGAUACCACCAAACUGCAAAAGACUGGGUUUGGAUUACCACACUGCAGAAUGCUUGAAGGAAUCAUUAUUGGUGGUGGACCCAGCUGCCAGAUAUUGGUGGUGGACCCAGCUACACUGCAGAAUGCUUGAAGUUAUUGGUGGUGACCCAGCUGCCAAUAUUUGUCAAACACCAUAGUGGUGAGAAAAAGAACAGGAAAAGCGAGUGGGAGGUAGAUGCGCUUUCCCCAAGGAAAGCAGAAUCAACAACAGCAUUCGGUAUUUUUCUUUUUCAUCUACGCAUUUCUUCUUUCUUUCUUCUAGUAUUAUUAUUAGUAGACAUAUACACACAAAUAUUUGUUUAUAACAUUUUCAUUCUUAAUAUUAUAAAAUUUAUUAUUAAUAAUAUUUAUACUAAUAUUAUUUUUUAAUAAUUAUAUUAGUAUCAGGAUUUUAUAAUUAGUAUCCUUACUUUUAUUGCUUAUAAUAAUAAUUAUUAUUAUUAUAUUAUGUUAUUAUUAAAAUUUAUUAGUAUUUUCACAUAAACAAUGAUAUAUGCAUAAGACAUAUUAAAAUUUUGAAUAUUAUGGUUAUUAUUAUUUAAUAAUAAUAUUAUUAUUUGAUUCAAAAAAAGUUUAUAAUAUAAUAAUAACAAAAAUAAUUUUUUUAAUAAAAUAAAUUAUAAAAAUAUAAUAAUUUUAUUAUUUAUAAAAUACAUUUAUUUUAAUGCAAUUAAAAAAAUUAAAAUAAUUUUAAAAAAUUUAAAAAUUUUCAAAAAAAAGUUAAAUGGGACGGGAUUAGGAUGGGAUCGAUCCAUCCCAAUGUCGUCCCGUUGUCAUCCCUAACUCAUCUUGUGAUAAUUAAGGCCAUUUUUUAUCAUUGUUUUUUUAAAAUGGUCUUUUAUCCUUAAUAUAUAUAUAUAUAAUAAUUAGAAAUAAAACAUAAUUUUUGUUUUUAAAAAUAAAAAAUAAGGCAUUUUUAGAUCAUAUCCUUUUAGUUACUUUUAUUUGUUUUUAAAAAGUAAUUAUAUAAAUAUAAAAAAUAAAAUAAUUUAAAUAAAAUUUAUUUUUAAAAUAUAGAAAAUUAGUUAAUAACACUUUAUCUUCUCAAGCUCUUGUUUUAUAAAAUAUCAUAAAAUAAUUUUCAAAAACUUUUUUUUUUCACAAUUUUGACAAACAAAACGUGUUGCAAUAAUGCACUUAAAUUCAAUGAACCUAAAAGCCAAAUGUGCAGUGUUGACUUUUCAACAGAGAGUUCACACAUGCCCAUUUUUUUAAUUAAAGCACUAUUGAUAUAAAAUAUAUAUUUAAAUAAAAAUUAGACUUUUAAAAAAAUUAAAAUAUAUUUUUAAAAUUAAAAUAUAUUUUUAAAAUGUUAAAAAAAUAUUUACAAUAUUUCCUUAAAAAAAACAUCUUCCAAAAACAUUUCUUUAAAAAAUACUUCCACCGAUAACAAUUUAGACACACUUGUGAUUUAAUAGUUAAAUAUUCUUUCCAACAGGAAUUCAACUAUCAGUUUGUAUUACCACGAUACCACCAAACUGCAAAAGACUAAUUUUGGAUUACCAAAAUGCAGAAGAGCUGAAGGAAUCAUUGAUGGUGGACGACCCAGAUGUCCACAUUAUUUGUCAGACACCAUAAUUGAGUGAUGAGGAAAUGAAAGAAAAGAAAAUAAAAAACAAAAAAGGUGAUGCCAAACAUGGUCUUAUAAGGUGGGUGGAGCGAAAGCAACAAAGGAAACUAGCAGGAUUUUUCAUUGCUAUUCCAUACCUUAAAGGACAAAUUUUGAAUUACCAAAAUACAAAAGACUUGAAGGAAUCAUUGAUGGUGGUGGACCAGAUGUCCACAUUAUUUGCCAAACACCAUAAUUGAGUGAUGACAAAACAAAAGAAAAAGCAAAAAAGGUGAUGCCAACAUGGUCUUGUAAGGUGGGUGGAGCAAAAGCAACAAAACAAACUAGUAGGAUUUUUUUAUUGCUAUUCCAUAUCUCAAAUGACUAAUUUUGAAUUACCAAAAUAUAGAAGACAUGAAGGAAUCAUUGAUGGUGGUGGACCAAGAUGUUCACAUUAUUUGCCAAACACCAUAAUUGAGUGAUGAGAAAAUGAAAAACAAAAAAGGUGAUGACAAACAUGGUCUUGUAAGGUGGGUGGAGCGAAAGCAACAAAGUAAACUAGCAAGACUUUUCGUUGCUAUUCCAUACUUCAAAGGAUUGAUUUUGAAUCAUCAAAAUACAGAAUACUUGAUGGAAUCAUUGAUGGUGGUGGACCCCGAUGUCCAUAUUAUUUGCCAAACACCAUAAUUGAGUGAUGAGAAAAUGAAAAAAAAAAAAAAGUUAAGAAAAAACAAAGAAGUGAUGCCAAACAUGGUGUCGUGAGGUGGGUGGAGCAAAAACAACAAAACAAACUAGUAGGAUUUUUUGUUGUUAUUCCAUACUGAGAAAAUAAAGGGCUAUUCUAAAUAGAUAAAAACACCCAAGAGAGGAGGUGAAUAGAAGUUAAAAAAUUUCUUUUUAAACACAAUAAAAUUAAGCAUAAGAAGUACAAAUAUAAAGAAGUAAGGUUAUAGAAAGUAAACUCAAAUUUAUAGUGGUUCGACACUUCCUUACUUACAUCCACUCUCCUCAAGCUCCUAAUCGAGUGAGGGUUCCACUUAUACUUGAAGUUUCAACCAAACUUCUAAUCACUUUUUACACUUGGAUUCCAUCUCCAAUGGACUCUUACACAAUCUUUUCAAGUCUUUACUCACUUGAAGGUUUUAACACUCAAUUAACAAGUUUGAAUCUCUCAACCUAGCUCAACAAUGACUCAAAUACAACUCAAGGCUAGGAUGAAUCACUAAGGUGCACUAAAGAAUAUGCAAAUGAAAAUUUAAUGCACUAAUAAAAUAAUGAGAGCUUUUAUGGCAAUAAUAAGUAGGUAAACAAAUAAAUGCAAGUGUUCUCUUACUCAUAAAUGAGGUAGAGCUCUCAAUUUAUAGGUUUCUAACCUCAGGAGCUAAAAAGCCAAAAAACAGUCUCAACUGGUUGAACUGGGGGUUGACUGGUUCAUUAGCCGUUGGAACAUUAAAUGCUUGGCAGGUGACCGUUACCCUCGACCAAACCUUAACUGAGAAGGCAAAUCCAUCAACCAGGAAAGAAAGGCUACUAGAAGAGAGAGAAUGUUUUUCACAUCUCUCAACCGGACCUUGACAUAGAAAGAGUAAUCGGUAGACCGAUACCUUAGCUGAUUGAGCCGAUUGGCCAGUGCCUCGACUAGUUCACCAUUUUUAGUCUGAAAACCUAUCUUUUUCUGGUCUUUUUGCUUCUAGCACUUAGGUAAGGACUUUAGAUAAAAUAAUAUGUCAAUUUUGAAAUGUUUUGCCUAAGGUUCAUUUGAUAGAACUCGGAUUUUGAUGGAAAUGUAACUUUAAUGCAUAAACCGAGUUUUAAAGAUGUAUGAAAUGAUAUGAAUACCCUAAGUACACUCAUGCAUUCAUCUUACGUAUGUUUCCUAUGAUUAAAAGGUCGUUCAAAAGUCUUGAUCUUGCAUUCAUUAGGUCCUUUAAUGAAUUUCCAAAUUAACACCUGAAAUUCUUUAUAAUUCAAAUCAAUUAGUAACUUAACCAUGAUUUGUUAUAAUCAAAACAUGAUUAGGAGAAUCAUUGGGCUAACACAUACCUCAAAGGACUAAUUUUGAAUUACCAAAAUAUAGAAGACUUGAAGGAAUCACUAAUCUUUUUAUAAUUUAGAAAAAUAAGUAAAACGAGUUUGAAGAAAUGUAUAAAAAUAAUUUAUUAAAUUUAAAUUUAUUUCUUAUUUUCCUUCAUUUUUUCUUUUUUUCUACUUUUUCUUUCUAUUUUCUUUCCUUCUCGUUUUCCCUCAAAUUUUCCAAGAGCCAAAUAUAGCUUAAAGGUUUAGAAUCUUAUGCACAAGACUUUCAAUUUUUUUUACAAUAUUAUUUUAUUAGUUAAGAAUUAAAAUUUAAUGUACCAUAUCUAACACUAACAAAAAAAUUUAUAACAACCAAUCUUAUCUUUUAAGAAUAUAUUGUUUAAAUGAGAUUAAAAAUUAAAAAUAAAUUUUAAUUCAUUUAACAACUAAAUUAAAAUGAAAUUUAUAUAUAUAUAUCAUAAAUUUAUACAAUUUUGAAUCAUUUUAUAUGGAGGAUUGAGAAUGGAGAGAUUGAAGAAUUGUUUGGUGACGAGGAGAUUGAUCGAAGAUUUUAUAGUCUUAAGGUUCUAUGGGAUGAAAUUUUUUGUAAAGAGUUUAAAUUUUUGUAAAAAAUAAAAUUAGUUUUAUGUUAUUUGAUUUCAUGGAAAUACAAAGUUUUAAUUCAAAGAUUAUGUUUUAAAAAUAUUAUUUUUAAAAUAUAUUUAGUAAAGAUUUAUAAAAAUUUAAAAUUAAAAUUAGUUAAUCUAUCAACUAAAUUAAAAUAAGAUUUAUAUAUUAUUUUUAUAGAUUUACAUGUGUAAAAUCUUUAAAAUGCCUCAACUUAAAAUAUCCUUACAAAAUUUCAUUAAUCUACUAGCAAUCUGCAUAUUGUCUCUACAUAGAGUCAAUUUGCAUUAGGAUGAAUACCAUCAUAAUAAUAAUUACGCUCCACAUAUGAUGUAUCUUAACAUCCACUUGGAGGUUAAAAAAUAAUUAAAGUAAGGGAAACUAAUAUAUUUAAAAUUUAAAAAUCAUUAUGAAGAUUUGGACAAUAAUUCAAGUAGGCAUCUUUGAAAUUUGGCUUCCAAAUCCCUUUGUCAAUAUACACCACCCUAUGACAAUUAAAUAAAUUAAAAGAAGGAAAAAAAAUGUUAAAGGAAUGACAAAACAUAGGGAACAAUUAUAUUUAAGGAGUGGAUGGAGUUGAUAAUGACUAAAGGGUACAAAUCUUGCAUAAUUGAACUAAAAAGGUAGAAAAGGUUUGUAGAUUGUUGUGGAAGAUAUAAACCCACUUUGUGAGUCAAAAAUGCUCAAAAUACCCUUAAGGGUGUUUUUUAAAAAAGGACAAUUAAGUACUCAUGAUAAUUAAUAUAUUAAGAUUUCAAGAAAAAUUAAUAAUAAAUAAAAUCUUUUUCUAAAUCUAUUUAACAAUCAUAUAGUUUUUAUUUUAUUUUAUUUUUUCAAGUGGCAACUAUUAUCUUAAUUUAUUUUUCAUUUUAAGGUUCAAUUAUUAUUAUUCUUUAUUUUGAAAUUUAAUUAAAUGAAACUGUAUAAGACAUGUUUAUAUUAAUUAGCUAAAAAGGAUAGAUUUUUUAGCAAUAUGAUUAAAAUAAAUAAAAACAAGGAAUUUGAUUUUCUUUAUAAAAUAGAUUAGGAAAAGUAUAUUUCGAUACAUUCGUAUGAAAAAAAAAUUCAUAAAAUAGGAACUCAAGUUUAUAAAAUACAAAUUUUAAGCAUUCAUCUAAAAAUAAUUAUCAUUUCAUGCAUUUUUUUUGUCAAAUAUAUUAUAUUUGAUAAUUUAGGUAUUAUAUUUUAAUAAUAUAAGUAGUACCUUUGACCCCCAUAAAACUUGAAUUAUUUUAAAUAGUUUCUAUUAUAUAAUUAUUUAACCAUUUGAUAUAAAUAUUAAAUAAUAAAAAAUAUAUCAUUUUUUAAAGAAUUUUAAUUAUAUUUGACUUUCUUUUGUAUUUUCUAUGGUGUAAUUCACAUAUGAGAAAAUCAUUUUCUUUAACAUUUUUUUUUCUUUCCUUAAUAAUUUUCGAGAACCAAACAAGGCUUGUAGGUUUGAAUUAUAGGGUAUAGAUGCCAAAAAUACCAGAAUGAGUUUGGGUUUUCAUGCUAAAUGUCUUUAUUAUUAUUUGGUAGCACUUUUCCAAAAUUGUUCCAUUCCCAAAACCACUUAAUUUGCUUAAAUAUUUUUACCUCACGAUAUCAUAACAUUAUAAUGGAAUAGAUUUUGUUGGUGUUCAAAUCAUGUCAACUCAAUUUCCAAACCAUUCGGAUUGUCAUUUGGUGAAAAAUAGAAAGAAAUUUUACUUUAUUGAAAAGCAUUUCAUUUUGAUUUGAAUAUGCUGCAAUGAAAUAGUUACUAAACCAUGGGGUAGCAGAAGAAGUAAUCGAGAAAAUGAAGAAGGAUGUUCAAGAAUUCUUUAUGCUGCCAUUGGAGAAGUUUUCAAGAUUUCUCCUGAGUAGAAAACUUAAUGGUAAGAGUACAAUAAGUCAUAUGAAAUUGGAGAACUGAAAGAGCAUAAGAACCAUGUUUUAUUAAAAGACCUGUGAAAGUUUAAUCAGUCAUGGAACUACUAAGAGGGGAUGAAUUAACAGUUUUCUUAAAUUUUGUCCAAAGUUAUGAAUUUUUAUUUUUUAUAAUUUUUUUUUACUUAAAUUGAAACUUAUUAAUCAAGGUAAGAUUUCAGCCACAUCGAGAAACAAUUUACGUGAAAAGGGACUGAUAAAAUCUUGAGUUUACAGAUGUAAAAACCAUAAGGCCAAAGACUGUAGAACUCCAACCCACUGAAUCAAGAAUAGAAACACAAAUUUAUCUACCAACCUACACUAAUCUCAUAUCUACAAUGCAACACCAUCGUACUCUUAAGUGACUUGAAAGGAUGUGAAUAUUUCUCACAAACUUCAUAAUGAAAUUCAAAUUAGCUCUGAGAGUUUUGGGUUAGGCACAAAGAGUAAUAAUGCAUAGCUUUUGUGUGUGAGUUUUUAAGUGAACUUAAGACUCAAUUUAAAGCAUGUAUUUUACUAAAAAUAAAAAAAUAAAUUUAAGAAACUUCAAGAAUUUUGGAAAGAUAAAUUUUAAAAAAAAUUCAAAGAGAGUCAGAAAAUGUUUCCUUUUUAAAUUCUCAAUUUAAUUUAUUUUCAAAUUUAUUAAGAGUUUAAGAAAUAUUUUCUUUUUAAAUUAUCAAUUUAAAACUCUCUUUUAAAUUAAUUUUAUUAUUAAUUUUCAUGCAAGUCUACUCUAUACAUUUUACAUCGUUAUUCUCAAUUAACUCAACAAUAUUAGAGUGUAACAUCCCCAAUUGAUUUUGCACCAACCUUAAGUCUUCAAAGACAAUGAUUGAGGCAUUUCUUCUCCUAUUUUCUCCGAUGUAGAAAAAAAACUUGAAUAAGGUUAAAGCUGGUCUAUAGCAAAAAGUCUUAAUUUGAGUUAGCCUCUUUUUUUUUUUCCAAAUGAUAUGCAGGUCCAUCUAGCCUUCAACUCAAAUUUUUUAUUCAAAAAUCACAUGUGGAUAUGUGAACAAGUAAAAGUUGAGUUUUACCUAACAAAUCAUUUUGAAAAUUAGGAAAUUUAAAAGGUAUUAGUUUGUUAAACUCACCACCCCUGUCUAUUCUACAAAACAAGAAGAUUAGCAAAGAAAAAGUAUUCAUAUUUGUACUACAAAAUAAAAAGAUUAGCAAAGAGAGAAAUUGUACCCAUGAGUGCAGAGUUUUGGGUUAAAACAACCCUUUUGAUGGGAAAAAUAUUAAAUUUAACCACUUUGUCAAACUAAUGUGUAAAAUGAUCCUUUUAUUAUCACAUAGGAGUCAUAUCACUAAUAUAUAUAUAUAUAUAUAUAUAUAUAUUUAAUUUAAGUUGAAGCCUCAAUUGCCAAUUAAGGCUUCAAUUAUCAAUUAUGACUUUAUUUUUAACCCGAAACCUUACUUGCCAAUUGAGGUUUCAACUAAAAAAAGAAACCUCAAUCGUCAACUAAGACUUAAUUUUUUAAUUGAAGCCUCAAUUGACAAUUGCGGUUUUAUUUUAAAACUGAAAUCUCAAUUGUCAAUUGAGGCUUUACUUUUGUGGAAGGAUUAUGUGACACUCACGUUACUAGAAAAAAGCCAUACUGAAUAUAAGUUUCAAAAGUGGCUUAAAAGGUAUAAAUUUUAUGAUCAAAGAUGCCAUUUUGACCCAAAAUCCCAUGGGUGCAUGAGACUCUAGUUAAUCAUAGAUUUCAUAGAUAAAAAUCAGAGUUAGGAUGAUUCAACCCCUAAGCGUCAAGAAUUCUUUAACAUAAUGUUAGAACAUUUUCCAAUUUAAAUUCGAGAGUUGACUUUAUUUGAAUGUGCUUUUGAUUUUUUUUUUUAAAUAAGCUUCAGUGUUUUUUUUAAAAAGAAAUAAAAAUAAAUAAAAAUAGGAGCUUCUAUAUAGAAAGUAAAAAUUUUAUCCAACAAAUAUAAGGCUCACCUUAUAUCCUUAUAAAAUAAAAAAUUUUAAAUUUUUUAAUACCUCAAAAUUUUUAAUCAAUAUUUAAAUAUCAUUAUAUUUUCAAUAUGAUUCCUUUAAAAGUUAAAAUUACUUAUAUUUUUUAUUUUCAAAAAAAAAAUAUAUAUAUAUAAGUAAUUUUAUGUUUUUUAAUUAUUAAGAUGGAUGAAAUAAUCCCAAAUUUGCAAAAAUAACUUCUUCUAUGUUUGAAUUUGAAAAAUAACUCAUUUCCAACAUAAAUACUCUUCAAUAUUUGGAUUAUUUUAAUAUAAAUUUUAGAAGAAAGUGUUAUUUUGACAGGAAAACAUGAAAGACAUUUUUGUUAAAAAUUGAUCUUUUUUUAAGGCUAAAAUAUAUAUAGGUUUAUAUUUACAAAUUUGAGACUAUUUCGUCCUCUUAAUCAAAUAACUUAAAAAAGAAAAGAGUUAAUUCCACAAGUGGGUUUAAAAUACUCACAAAAUUGCAAUAUAUAUAUAUAUAUAUAUAUAUAUAUAUAUAUAUAUAUAUAUAUAUAUAUAUAUAUAUAUGAAAUUACAAAUUUACCCUCGUGUGUUGAGCACAUGACACUUCCAUUCAUUAAAGCUAACAUUGUUAAAUAACAAAUGUACAUUGCAACUAUUUAAGAAGUAUGAAGGGCACAUUGCUUGAUUUUAGUACAUGGUGAGAAACUUGUUGAACAAGUUAUGUGUAAAGUUUUAUGGUUCAUGUAUGAUAGAAAAUACAGAUCUACUACAACACUGGAUUUGCAAUUUGGGUUAAUAUUUAAAGAAAAGACCAUAGGACAAAAAGAAUUAAACUUUUGGUGGAAAACAAUAAAGAAAGGACUACAUGGAAAAAGGGAAGAGAUCAUUAUAAAGGAAGAUUAUUGAAUAGAAAUAAUUCCAAGAACCUAAGGCAAGACAUAGAGUAUCACUACUACUAUCACAAAAAGGGGUAUAUCAUAAAAUUUAUGAAAUUUUGAAAAAGACCUAAAAAAUGAAGAAAAAAAAAAACAAAUCAAAGAAGCCUACAAGUGUAACUAGUGUUCUUAAAGUUGCGAAAUGAAGGUAAUAAAUCAAAAGUAGAUUUGUUAAUAGUUUUUAAAAUGCUUGAAUUAGGAAUUGUCUACUUGUACCAUACAAGCCCUUGUAGAGACUGGUUUGACAUGUAAAUUGUUUGUAAAAUCAUUUUAAUGGGCAAUAAUGCACCAAGUUGCUCCACGAGAAGGGGAGGGGUUUGUGAAACCAUCACUUGUCAUGACAUACAUCGUCGGGUAAUCACGGAUGAGGGCAUCCACGGGAGGCCAAUGUCUACCCUCGCUCCACACCCCUCUAGUACAAGGCUCUAGGAGGGAGAGAGGCAACAAGUGUGUGACACCAAGGUAAAUAUGCUUGACCUUAUGGCUUUGGGAGCAACUUGCAUUGAAAGACUUGAUGAUUCACAAGAUUCUACAAUUCAUACAAAGUAUUGCAUUUUGCGACGUUCUUCAUCAAUAAGAGAGCCUAGAUAUCCAUUGUCAAGAAUUCUUUAUGUAUGAAAACAAAGGCGCCUAACCGACAUGCCCAAGAUCAAGGCAACUGGAGCGUGUUGCUUCGCCCAAGUUACUUAGCGCGUUUUGUGCCAAAGUUUGUUGUUCGCUCAAGAGGGCUUUUGUGAAUCUUUGUAAUAAAGGGAUAAUACAGAGUGGGCCGUAAUUUAGCAUCUUACACGCUUAGUUUCUUCCAUUGGUGGCAUAUAUUAUUUUGUCUGUCAUUGGUGAUUAUUUAAUAAAACUAUGAGAGUAUUUCAUGAAAUAUAAAUAAGAGGUUUUUAGGAUAUUUAAUCGAUGGUAAACAAAAGUUGAAAACUAAGUAGGGAGGAAGAUAAAAUAUUUUAGAUUUGAUAGUGGACUUGAGCAUUAGAACAAGAAGUUCACAAAGUAUUGCGAGAAUUCUUAUAUUACUUAACAUCACAUGUAAAGAAAUUACAAAGCAAAAUGGAGUGGUUGAAAAGAUGAAUAGAACACCAUUGGAAUGACUAGGUGGCUAAGAUUAACCAUUGGGUUACUUAAGAAUUUAAGGGCUAAAGCUAUCAACAUAACUUAUCAUGUAAUUACUUAGUUGUCAAGUUUUACAAUUAUUUUCAAUAUUCCAAAAGAAGUGUCAAGUAAAUCAAUUGACUUUUCAUCUAUUGAAAUAUUUGAUUGUUGCACUUAUAUUCAUAUAUAGGUGAAAAAAAAAUUCAAUCCAAAAUAAAAAAGGUAUAUAUUCCUUGGGUUUGAAAAAAGGAUUGAUUAAAGACUAUAGACUUUGGGAUCCAACAAUUAAAGAAAAAAAAGUGGUGAGCAGAGAUGAAUUCAAUGAAAAACAUAUGUUAAAGAAAGAUCAAGGACAAAUGAAAUUGGUAUUGAAAAAAAAUUCAACUACAUGACCAAUCAUCGAGAUGAAAUUUGAGAAAAAUGUCAUUAAAUAUGAAAUCCCUCCUAAUUGAUGUCCCUAUUAGAACUUUAUAUGGGCAUCUUUCUCUAUUGCUCUAAAGAAUCAUCGAAUUGGGUAAGGACAUCAAUUUUAAGAUUUUAAUUUUUUUUCAUUAUUUAUUGGAAUAGGAGAUCUUUAAAUUUUUUUGGGGCUCAAUUAGGAAGGAUGAUAGUUAUCAAUGUGUUGGUGCUAUGUCAAAUGAGAAUCCAAUGCACAUGUUGACUAAAGUUGUUCUUAAGGAUAAGUUCAAGCAUUGGUUGAAUGUCAUUAAUUUUUCAUUUUGUAGAACAUGGAAGGUCAAUUUUAUCGAAGAGCCAGGUCAAUCAACUUCUAUUAGGACUUCCAUUGAUUCUUGAUUUGACUAGAGGGACUCCUAGCAGUAAAUUUGUAUGAAGGGGCCCUACGGAGAUGCAAGAGCUGCCAAUCGGAUCGACCAAUAAAUGAUAGGCCCAUGCAGAGAUGUCCCUGAAAUAGGGGAUUGGUUGAUUGGAAAGCUUAGGCAGAGUAUAAAGGAGAACAAUUUAGCAUUUUGGGAAAAGCACAUAUGAAGAUGUUUACAAGUUUGGAAAUUUGAGUUAAAGAAGAGAUGGUCUAAAAAUGUUUCAAAUUUCAAUUUUAUGUUUUUCUAAGUUUGAUAUAUCCUAUUUGGAUAUUUGGGAAGUCUUCUCUUGUUACAUAAGGUAGUCCUAUGAUGAGAUUUGUUAUGAAAAUAGGUUCUUCCUCGUGUGAAAUAUUCCUAUGAAAUUAAGAAGGAAUAUAGGAAGAGUUUUUAUUGAAAUUAUGAAUCUUUUUUUUAUGUAAUUAGAACUAAAAUAUGAGAGUUUUAGAAUUGUAAUUACACCUUUGAAUAUAAAUAAUUGAUAAUAGUGAAUUAAUUUACCUUCUCCCUCUAGAUGUAGGUAAAUGCUAAAUUAUGUUAAAUCUUGUAUUCUCAUAUGAUUUUUUUUUUCAUUUAUUUUUCAUUUUCUUGCCCAUUUCUAACUUGCUACUACAUAAUAACAGGUGGUAUCAGGCUUUUUGUGUUUGCACAACAAAUGGUCUCAGUUUUUCCAGCACCACAAAAAUGAUAUUUUACUUAAUUGCUCCUCAGUGGAAAAGUUGGAAAGAAAAAUUAAAUCAUCGACUACACCUUUUUUUUUUUUUCCAAAACUUUUCUUGUCUUUGUGCAAGAAAAUUAGUAUAUUUUCUCUUUAGUAUUUGUUUCUCAUUUAUAUAUAUAUAUAUAUAUAUAUUCAAAUGGAACCUUAAUCAUCUUUUAUAUGAAGUAUAAAAGAAUUAGAAAAUAUUCAAAUUUUAAAUGAUUUUUAUUAUACUUUGUCCACUUCCUAUUUCAUAUAUCAAAUUACAAUAGAAUUUAAAAUUCUUUUAUAAGUUUUUUCUCCCUUUGCUACCACAUAAACGCAAAGACAGUAUGUGAGUUAAAUACCUUAAAAGAAAAAGAAAUUAAAAUGUGAUACAAAACAAAAGUAACCUCUUUAAAUUCAAGGAAACAAAACACUAAACUUUUUCAUGUAUUUUAUUCCAUUUAUAAAUGCAACAUGACAAAAAUAGACAAAAAUAUAAAUGGAAACCCUUUGGGUCCUUUAUUUUAUAUUUUAUCAACUUCAACCAAUUCUAUUUCUAUAGCACAACCGAUAUUAUAAAGUUCAAUGAGUAUAUAAUAUAUAAAGAUACUAAUCAAUACGAAUUAUUCUUUCUUUCAAAUGGCUACUUGUAUUAAAAAUUAAAUGUAAUUCCUCCUAAACAAUAAAAUAUGUUGACACGAUUUCAAUGAAUAUACAGUACAUAAAGAUAUGACCAAUUAGUACGAAUUAUUCUUUCUUUUAAAUAGCUACUUAUACUAAAAUAUAAGUAAACAUAAUUCCUCCUAGAUAAUAAAAUAUGUUGACACAAGGAGGAAUAUAUUUACUAAUUAUAUCAUUUGCAAUAGCCUCAAUCUCGUGACGUUCUUCGAACCAACCAUAGACUUUAUUGAGAUAGGUUAACCAAGGGAGCUUCCACUCUCAUAACUCGUAUAUGAAAAUUUCAUCUUGUACAACUCAAAUAGAAACCCAUAAAUACCAGUUGAAACCAAAAUGUAAUAAAUAAAUAAAAACAUAUUUCAAUGGAUCCAAUUAGUAUUUUUCUGAUCUCGGAUAAACAAACAAAUUUUUCUUCAUUUUGUUUUUUUUUCCAUUAAUCUUUGUAAGUAAAUUAUAUUUUAAUUUAACAAAGCACUAAACUUUACUUUAAUUUUCAUGCAGGAUCAACUAGCUUAUCAUAAUAAAAUUUAUCAAUAUAGCUGAGCAGAGAUUUGAUGUAAUAAUACCAUACAAAAUUCAAGUAAAAUUAAAUUAAUCAAAUAGGACACUACGGUCAUAUUUGGAUACAUAUUCUAUUUUUUAUUUUUAAAAUUAAAAUUUUGAUAUAAAAUAUGACAACCCUUUGUAUAAAAAAUAAAAAUUUAUCCUAUAAUCUUAAAACUACUUUUCAAUAUUAAAAAAAAAUGAGGACGUGUCCUAAAAUUUUAAACAAAUUUAAAAAUAUUUUUAAAUACCAAGAUAUCCACUUUUUUCUUUUUUAAUAAAAAUUCCUAUAUUUGAUAUAAAACUCUAUUUUAAAAAAUGAAAAAUAAAAAAUGUAUCCAAACAUAAGCAAAAUUGUUAGAUUUCAUUGUGAGAUUUCUUAGAUUCUACAAUUCAUAGUGAAAUGAAGACGAGAGAUAACUGACUGAAUUAUGAAAAAAAAAAUUAACAUUGAUGAGAUUCAAAAAUGCUAGUUAAUGAAAGAGUUUCUCCGCCAGGAUGACUAAGAAAAAUGCUGAAAAAUGUGUCAUGCCCAAAGCAAUGUUACAAUGAAGAAUAGAAUGAGAGCUAACCCGAAACAAAAUCCGACAAUCGCCAUGAAAGCCUGGAUGCAGAGGAAAUGUAACUAGAGACAUGUAAGGAAUCAUUAAGCAAGUGAGAACAAUAUCAAAAUCUCAUGUACGACUUACUUACCUUUCCCUGAGAUUCAAACUUGAAUUUUACUGUAAACCAUGACAAUCCUCUAUCUACAAUAGGUGCAAGUGCAAGGGCCCUGCAUGAGAAGCACCUCUACAAAAAUCACAGAAAACCCAAAGGAAAAAAAAAAAAAAAGAGUAAAUAAAUAGAAACUAGUCUAUCAGAAACCAGGAGGCUGCAACAAAUAAUCUCCAAAUGUCAGAUUUAAUAUUUAUUUACAAAUGCCACUAAAAGGCCUUUUCAUCAGAGAAAUCUAGAAUAAAAAAGGAUAAGGAGCCAUUUGGAUUACAGAGGUCAAAGAUUGGGUUGGAUGGGAGCAAGUUUAACCUCCUCAGUGAAAAUGAAAAUGCAAGGCCCAUCAUCAACGCUAGGUUCAAAAAUUGACACCAUUUCUUGAAGACUUUCUUUUUUCAUUCUUCAAUUGUCAUUUUGAUUCAAAGAAGCAGCAGCAUGAUAGACUAAACAAUCAUCAUAAACCCAGUUGCAAGUUAUAAGGAUAAGAAAGAAAAUGAACAGAAAACAUAUAUGAGAGAACUGAUAGGCCAAAAAAAUCAUUGUUGAAGGAAUCGAGCAUAAAUCUCUGAACAAAAUUUAGCUGAAAUUCACUGAUUUUGGGUUAUUUUGUGAUAAGAGCAUUGCAAUAUCCCAAUAAACUGUUACGCUAACUAAAGAUUUAAAACAGAAUUUAGCUGCUUACCCUCCAGCUCUGACAAGUUUAGUGACCUGGCUGCCUGCCCACACCAUAGCCAUGAUUUUGACAAAUCUGCCAAUUGGAUUCCAUGUCAAGAUAUUUUGAAAAACUUGUGCAAAAAGAAACUUUUUGGAAUAAGUUUUUACCUUUCAACUGCCGCCAAAUAACCCAUCCUUCCUGGUGCUGGAGCAAUAUAAAACCUAGAAGCAGCAUAGUGAAUUCAGAGUUAUACUGGUUAUUUGAAAUCUACUCUGAACACCUAUGAUAGAGACUGCAGGAUGUGGUAAAACACUAAGGCAUAUUUCAAACUACAUUAUAAGGUAUUUGAUUAGAAAAUUAAAUAAAUAAAUAAAUAAAUAAAAUAACAUAACAUAAAAUACAAAAAAGAAAAAAAAAAUUAACAAACUGAAUUUGUCCAUAUGCAACAAUAUGCAAUUGUUAGCCAUGAAUCCCAGUUAUGUCGGUUUCCAGUAUUAAUAAUUAAGCAUGAUGUUUAUGAACUAGACCAGCAUUCUAAUAACUCUAGAUUGAAGGGCAUGGAUGUCACAUUUGUAUUCCAUCAUGUGCAACUAACAUCACAUUGAAAUAAUAUCCACUAAAGCAAGUUAAGACCCAGUAUAUCAGAUUAAAUUUUUUCUACCAUGAACAUAAGCUUGAUAAAAAUGAAGAUGGAAAUGCAAUACUUCUUUAUAUGACAUAAUGAAGGGAACCAAAUACAAGGACUCCCCAUUCCAGAUGCAGAAAGCCAAGUUACAACCUUUGCCAAAUAAAGAGAUCCACCAUAAGUUCAUUUUUAGACAUGCUAUAGUUGAAUAUGCCAUCAGUAAGUGAUCAAAAGCCAAUUCAGAUGGGAAUAACAGCCACAAUGUUGGGAAGGUCAAUAACAAAAGCAUUGACUUGAAUGUUGGCAGUGUCAUUUACACUGGCCAUAAGAACCAGAGGUAAUGCAUACAGUUGGUAAGGUGGGGAGGAGGAGAUGAGAAAUUGAAAAGUCUUGAAUUUAUUUGUUUCAUGCAAUUCCGUUUUCCAAUACUCUAUACGAUAAUAUACAUUGUACAGCACAAGAAUAGGGUUGUUUUAAAAUUUUGAACAAAUAAAAAUUUCAUAUCAAUAUCUAAUAUUUAAUAAAAAAGAAUGAAACAAGAGUAAGUACAUUCUCUUCUCCUUAACAUGGUAUUAAAGCAGUCUCCAAACUCUUAACUCCUAGUUGCAUACUUGAUUUGCACUGGAAGUUGCAGUUUGCUCAUUUUGUUAUUCAAGUAAGUUACUUCAAUCUAUCAUAGUUUAAAUGACUUGGGACGGUAGUUGUCAUGGGCACGAAUUUUCCCACAAAUUUUUCGCAUUCACACAGCGCUUAGAAGCCCUCUAAGCCAACAUACUCAAACCCACAUGAGAUUGCAAUCAAGAAAAACCUCACAAAGACACACAAGGCUAUGGAGCUCAAUCCCUAACUUGUAUUUUAUUUCUUCUCUAAAUAACAAUACCAGACAUAGCUUAACAAGACUUCCACAAUCUCUUUGGUGAGUUCAUGCUCUCUCUCAAGCUAUGUAUAUUCUCUAUGAUCUCCAGAUUGCACGAUAAUUCAAAGGGCACUCCAGUCCUCCUUUUAUAGGUGUGACACCAACCACUCCCUAUUUGAUAAGGAGCAACGAAUCCUAGUUCUACUCAAACUACAAUUAAAAUAAGAAUCUAAACUCCUAUUCAAACUCAAAUUACAAUAACAAUUUGAAUUCAACUCUGAACUUUCAAAUGUCUUCGGCCCAUUCCUCUUUCAUUUGAAACUCCUUGUAUCAGGCCACAUAUCAGCCCUUCAAUUCCCUGGUUUGUGGUGCAAUAUAUCUUCCUUAAGCUUGUCCCAAUGCCAAGACAUCUUUGUUGUGUUCUGCCUGAAGUCUACCCACUCUUGUGCCUUGAGUCAGUCCAUUCAUGCAUUUGAAUCAGCUGAUGCAUCCGAUCAGCUUGCUAUAGCGUCUCUAGGCAGCCUACUACAUGUGUCUCUAUGCAACUAGUGUGCAUGCCAAGCCCUCUCUUAGCCUACAGAUCUAGCAAUUUUCCUUGGUGCCAAUCUUUCCUUUGGCUGUAGCCCCUUGUUGUUCCUUGAGCGUGUCAGUCAUGCUCAUAUGUGUUCCCGCAUCUGGAUCACGUCCAUGCUGAGGCAACCUGCCCAAGUUUGCUCUGCCUAGCUGUUGUUAUGGCAUCAUGCCAUGCCCAAGCCCUCUUCUUGGUGCAGCAACGAGUCAUGGCAUUGCACCCAUGACUCCUCAUCUCUAUGCACAAGGCAUUGUGCCCUUGUGCCACGCCACCUCAUUGCACAAGGCAUUUCCCCCUCAUGCUACCGUUGGGAAGGGAAGACUGCAUAGCACCCCAUGUCGUUGCAACCUUGAGUUGCACACCAUCACAUGUCAUGGAGCCCAUAUAUGGUUGCUAGCAAGGCUUGCCCAUGUGCCUUGCUCAUGUUUGAGGACUUGCACCAAAGCCCCUAAGUGUGGCCAUGCCCAUGCCACCUCGUCUCCCUUGAGUCACCCCCACCCUCACCCCCCUUAAAAGAGCAUUUUAAGCCCUUUUAAUUAAUUCAAGAAAAUCUAGAAAAUUUUGCUUCCACUUGGAGUCUCCCUUUUGAAGGUUCCUAUAAAUCUUUUAUCUCUAAGCGAAUUAACCAAGUCACUUAAUUGUUUUGCAACAUUCCUUCCCUUCCCAUAGUGUAUUUCAAGAUCUCUUAAUGAACAAGACAAUUGGUGGAGGGCAUGAAGUAAGUGGAAUUUAUCACCAUAUUGGCCCACCUUUUACUCCAAUUGCUCUACGUACUUCCAUUUCUUCUAUGUAGUGGCACACCUUUCACUACGCAUCUUUAGCAUAUGGGACUUCUAGUUAUAUUGGACUCCAAGUUAAAGCACCAAGUUUGUGAGUCAAGCAAAUAGCAUCACCAUAGUGUUGUUCUAGUCCUUUUUGUUCUAUAAUCAAUAAGAGGAGUACUAGUCCUUUUCAUCUUGUUCAUUUAGACAUUUACAGUUUAUGUAGUGUUGUUCCUAAUGUUGAACUAAACUUUUUUAUUGCUAUUUUAUUAAUUAGAUCAAUGAAAAUGGUAUGAGCAUAAAGAGGCUGAAUAAUAGGUACUAAUCUCUUAAAAAAAACUAUCUUGUAGAAACAUCAUCAGGUGACUAUGCACAAGUAAAUGGUCUGACAAGGCGUGAGAAAAACAUUCAUUUUUGUGCAACAACCAAGUAUUUGCAUCUUAAUCAACCAAAGAAUAAAUGGCUGAAGACAAUAAAUGACUGAACAAAAAGAAAAUCAUAAGUUUUAGGCCAGACACUUUUUUCAUCAAUUAUAUACAACAACAAUAAAUCAAAUAGUCCUAAAUUUCAAAAGAAUAAUGCUCAGCAGCUAUGCAUACUCACAAGUCACAAAUACCUCAUCCUUGACUAAUUUACAUGAAUGAAUUAUUUACUUACCAUACCAAGAGAAACGUUGUAAGAUAGUAUGCAGUAUUCAGGAGUCCAUAGGAUAAUAUUCCAGAAAUUCCAUAUCUCUUCAGUUUCUUUAGAAGACUGAAAGGUUAAGCAAGAAUGAGCUCUCAAUGUAAGUAGACAUGCAUUUCAGCAUACAAAGGGCAAAAGGAUUGAGGUAUCACUUCUUACAGAUUGUUUGCAUGAAAUUCAGUAGUAGAAGAGAAAUUAAAAUGAUUGGGACAAGAUCACUCAUCCAAACAAUAGUUUAUUUACAGAGAAAAGGUCUAAAGCAUAAUCAUGCAGUAGACAAAAUGAAUCUUUUGUGUCAUGUUCCAAUAAUGUUAACAAACUACAUUAAAUUCAUAAGGUUACAUAGAAAAAGAAAGAAAAGACAUUGUUGCAAUAGUUUGGUUGUUACACUGCUAGCACCCAGACUACGACCAAAUCCUUGCAUUGAAAUUGAAUUUCAAACUCCCAAUGUGAAAAAGGAAGAUACAAAAAAGAAAAGAAAAACAGGAGGAAAAAAAAAAAAACAGAGGGAAAGAAAAGAAACAUGGGAUUUCCAUGUAUAAUACAUACAUAUUAUAUCUAUAGAUAAAUGCAUGUAUGUGCAUAUGUCAUAGAGGCUGGUCAGACACAUUUCAAGAAGUUUCACAACUUGCUUUGGAAUGACAAACACGUGGAUCAAUAAAUGGCUUGUCUCCAUUAUUGAGAAAUUGCAGGUAAAUUUCAUCCACUACAGGCAUGGGGUGGCUGGACAAAGUUAUGCCAUUUGGUGGGAUGUAGUGGACUUAAGACAGAAAAUUCUCAAUCAUUCUUCUGUCCCUUGUGCAGUGUUGAAGCUGACAAUAUUAUUGAGCAUACAAGGAAUGUGAUGUAAAACAUCAUUGAGGACCAUGAGCUGCGAAGGCAGGGAGAAAUUAAGUUAUGAUUAAGUUUUGGUGAGGGAUUUUCAGAUGCAGAUCAUAUGGCAAAUUAACUUCAGAGAAUUGCAUGUUUUUAUUCAUUUCCAUACACAUUGAAUAAUCAUAUUUAAAAUCCCUCAUUCACUUGUUUCGCUUCCAUUAGUGCUCCUUCCACAUGCCUAUUAGCAGCAUAGACCUCAUGAUAGUUUGGUAAAGGUAAGACAAUAAAAUUGAAAAAUACAGCUAAAGCCUAAAAUAUUGGCUCAUAAAGAGAGAAACCAUCCAAGUUCUAUCUUAAAUGACUCUACAAGUUCUAAACAGGGAGACAAGGACUUCAACCUGGUCCAUCAAUGCAUAUAAAUGGGUAAUCAUUCCAACAACCAUUACGUUAGAAGUACACUAAAAGAAAAUUAUUAAACAAUGUUGUUUCCAAAAAUUCCAUGUUAAAGAAUAGAAGAACAUACUGCUAUAAAUGAAAUUCAUUCAAAACAGUUCAAACAGUAAAGUUAAGAAUUGUGACUGCAUAUUUUUUUUUAAAAGAAACAAGAAUUGUGACUGCAUAUCACCACACUUGUUUUAUUUAUAAUCCACACAAUGUAUUCUUCCCUAGCAUGUUAUCCCAUUAAGUAACCUCCAGAUAAAAUUCCCUUUCUGACUCUGUCAAUCAGCCAAAAAAUUUGAUGUAAAAUGUAAAAUACAUGGGUACACAAAAACAACUAUAUAAACUGCCAUCCCAUCAUUAAUAAAUCAUUUGUCUAUAACAUAGACUAAUAGCACUGUAAGGCAAGUAGGAAGUACUCUUUUGAUGUGUGCAGUUCUCCUUCACCAUUUUCGCCCUUUGCACUGGAGUCUAUAAAAAUAUGUAUAAGUAGAUUUUUAGAAAUAUCAAGUUUAUCAAAUGUAAAAUAUGGUAUCACAGAAAGCUACACCAUUUUUCUAGUUAUCAUUUGAAAGAUAUUGAUACCUUCAUGGUUGGCAGAGUAGUCAUGACCAUUUGACAUGCCAGAAGCCUAACCUACAACAAAGGCAAUGUUGAAAAAGCAAUAUUCAAAAUUCAAUGAAAAAAACAGAAGACAAACAAAUGAACAAAUAGCAAAUCAUCACACUCAAUUGUUUUCCAAAAAUGAAAAACCAAAUGAAAGGAACAAGGAAUAUAUUGAGAAAAAAACCUAUGAUCAAUGGAUAUGCAGUUGCAUUCUAGCACAUAUAUAGGAUCAAACAAGUAACUAAUCUAGACAUAGCUGCAGCAAAUUUGUGUAUCUCUGAAUGCGUGUCUGCUUUUUGUGGGGGGAUAUUUAUUAUGACAUGUUCUUAGUGCAGACAAACCAUCUGCAUUUACUUGAGGAUUAGGUAAACAUACUUUCCAUUUAAAAUGAGGCCUUGAACAUCAAGCCCCGGUGAGUUUUCAAAUAAGGAAAACAUAAUAGCUUUACAAUGAGUCCCAUAGCAAGAAGGCAUGCAAUUCCAUUCAUCAGCAUACCAGAAUAUAGAAUAGUGUGGACAUGUGGACACAUGCCAGAAUUAGCAUUGGACACACUAACAUGCCAGUCAUACAUAGAAAGACUUUCCAAAGAUAUUAAAGUAAAACACUGGUAGUAAGCAAAUUAGACCCAGAAAAACAUGCAAGUAUAGGCCAAGAUCAAAUCUUAAUUUUAAUUUCCAGAAAAAAAAUAAAAAAUUAUAUCAACCAAUAGAAAUGGUAUCAUCAGCAAUUAACACCAAAACACACCAACAUAUCGGAAUGCAUAUCACGUGUACCAAUCUCCAAUCAGCAUUACACCUGUACAAGUUAGCCUGUAGCAGGUCAUAAUAGGUUCAGACUAUAAAACCUUCCAAAUCUUCCUUUGCAGGGCUUAGAAACUAUUUUCUAAGUAAUUUGCAAUUUUAAAAGCCUGUGACAAAAUUUUGGAUGAAGAGCUUAAACUAUAUACUCACAAACCCACUCCAAAAUUUCCUUAAGGUAAUACACAUUUUUUGAAGUCCUUUCCAAUGUCUUCUCUUAUUUGAGUUAGAAAAGCCAAUGUUUUUAUGAAUUGACUACUACGGCUGUUGAGGUUUGAGGUGUAUAACUAAUUUCUUAAUAUAUCAUAAUUUACAUCAGUCAUUAGAAAUUAAGGUUCCAUCCUUUUACACUAAGAAAAUCCUGAGAGCAAUUAAAAAAUACCUUCUUUAAUAUUAUUAAAUUUAAGUUUCCUUUAGGUCUUUGAGUCUAAUAGAAAUUAGUAUAAAAGGAAUUUUAAUUUUCUUACACUAAGAAAAUAAAAAUAAUAGGCAAAAUAAUUUUCAAAUUUUGGAACUUUAUAGGUAAUGCUUAUUAAAAUAAAGCAACAAAGUUUGUCAUUUGCCAAUGAAUGAACCAAUUGUGGAAAACUAUGCAAAAAAUUUUAUUAGCAUGGAAUUUUUUUUUUCUGCCAAUAUAUAGAAUUCAAUUUCAAACCUGCCCCUCCCAACCCACCACUUGCUACUUGAGGCAAGCUUAGAGGCAGAAAACUAUUUACAAUUCUACGUAUGGAUAAAAAUUAUUUCUUAGAUUUUAUGCCAAUUCCAUAUUUAUAGGUAUCAAUUUAUUAUUCUACUGUUGUCAGAAGCUUCAAUUUUGGGCGUCCUCAUGGCUAUGCCACCCUUAAAUGAGAACAACUUUGGUCUUCUGUUUUUCUUUUUGAGCUCUUCAAAUUUUUGCAAGUUACUUCUAUCCAGGUUCUAGGAAACACCCAUUUUUUUAAAUCUCCAAUAAUUUAGGGUUCUGUGGCUGAGGGAAUAGACUUAUUUUUGGUUGAAGCACAUAAAAUUCUUGGCUAUUUUUUUAUUUUUUAUUUUGCCAUCAGGUCCUUUUAGGUUGAUUUUUCUACUUAUUUUUCACCCACCAAUUAACAUUGCCCUAACUCUGUUAUCUAUCCGAACAAAUGUUUAUGAACUAGCAAAUCAUACUAAAAUUUCUUACUAGUUGACAUGUGCAUCAUCUCAGCAUGUCAUUCCAACACCAAACUACAACCAUAAUCUCACUAACAUCCUAACUGCCUCAAUGAGUAUGGAUUACAGAAAUGCAAUUAAAAUAUACUUCCCUAUUUAAUUUCAUAAUUUUUAUAAUAAUAUUUCAGCAAUAUUUCCACAUAGUAGCUUAUGUGAGAAAUCCCCAUUUCCGUAUAAAAUCGAAAAACCCUAUAGCUUGCGCAUGUAAAUAGAAAAAAAAAAAAAAAAGACAGAUUUUGCAGAAUUGGGAGAGCAGACUCACACCAGCAUGGCCAUUGAUUGAGCAGAAACGCAGAUGACGAUGAUGGUGGUGGAAUUGGGAGAAAUUGUUGAGUUUGUGGAAUGUGGGAACCCUAGGAAUGCUGGGAUUGAAACCCUGGAUUGAAACAAGAGGAUUGUGAGAGAGAAUUGGAAAUUGAAGAAUCAAACACAAAAAAUAAAUCCAAGAAAUAAAAAAGAAGCGUAAAAAUGAAAUAGAGAAGAGUGUGUAUGACGCACCUGAUGAUGUGAAAGCAGCUUCAGCUGGUGAAGGCAAACUUUCGACGGGAGAGACAUGAGCAUACCGGCCUCCGACAACAAUCCCUCCAAAAUAUUCUUUCUAUACCAUUUAUUAUUAUUAUUAUUAUUAUUAUUAUUAUUUUCAGGUUAUUUGAAGUGCAAUGUCUAGCUAUACCAUUUAUUAUUAUUAUUAUUAUUUUAUUGCUAUUAUUAUUUUCAGGUUAUUGAAGUGUAAUGUCCACCAUACCUUAUAUGCCAUCCAUGAUGAAGGCCUUAGAACUCUCCAUGGAGCCUAAAUCUCGGGAUGCUAAUCACCCUAUAAUAACCAGCAUAGAGUAUAUUCAAAGUAUCAUUAAUGACAAAUUUCGAACUUAGGACCAUAUGUCAUUUACUGAGACCACACUUCUUAAUGUUCAUCCUUAGCGACACACUCAUAUGUACCAAAUCAUCCGAUAACCUGUUUUUCCUAUUUUCUCAUUUUUACAAAAAAAAAGAAAAAAUAAGAAUAACUUCUAUUUUUAAAAUUUUAAUUUUUUUUAUAAGUAAAUUUUUGUUCUCAUUAGGACCUGUGGAACCUCCCACAAGUCCUCCCGAAUCAUUUACCACUUGAGUCAUGCCUUAAUGGCUUGUUUUUUUAAAAAAUAAUAACAACUUUUAUAUAAAAAAAAAUACUUAUAAAAAAUAUAUACAUGUCAUUAAAAGUUUAAAGAAAUUUAAAUUUGAUAAUAAUUUUUUAAAUAAUUUAAUGUGUUAAUUGUUCUUAAAAACCGUAAAUAACCUAAAAAAGAACAGUAUGUUUGUAAAUUGACCAAAUUGUUAUAUGGUUUUAAAUAGUCACCUUAACAAUGUUACAAGUGAGUUGAUUAAUUUAUGGUAGAGAAGAAUUACAAUAGAAUUCAAUUAGUUAUCGCAUUUGAAGUCUUUGAUUAUUUGUUGAAUAAUAUUUGCAGCCAAUUAGCUAGGGUUGGCUAACCCAAGCCAAACCUAGUUACCAAUAUGUCCAACCUAUGCUAAACUCGAUUCAAAGUAAGGUUGGUAGUUACUAAACUCAUUAACAACUAAAGUUUCUAUGGAUUCCCACGAGUUUUCAUGGAUUAUCAAAUAAACCACAUAUAAUGGAAUCUCCUAAUAUAUAAAAGACAUAUUUCAAAUUAUAAAUUAAACCAUAUUAUAAAAUAAAAUUUUAAAAGCUAAGUAUAUAUCAAAGUCAUAAAUUAUAUUACUAUUCACUAAUUUUAAUGGUAACAUGAAACACAAGUGUGAAUAUUUAAAAAUAUUUUAGUAAUUAAACAAAAAUGAUAGACUUAUAGUGUAAUGUAAUAAAACUAGCAAAAGUUAUAGUUAUUUCAUUAUCCCUUUUAUAAAUUUCAUAUUUUAAAUAAACUAAUAAAUAAUAUAAUAGUAAUGAAUUUGCUUAGUCUUCAUCAUGUAGAACCAAUUUGAAGAAUUUUUUUUUAACAGGACUGAUUAAUGACUUAAUUAAGGGUAGGUUACAGCUAAAAUAUUUAGUAGGACUGAUUAGUGACUUAAUUAAGGGUAAACUACAGCUAAAAUUUUCCUAGUAGUCUUCCACUAUGGCAAAUUGUGGGAACUAGUAGUGGCCUGUCCAACCUAUAGAGGAAACAAAUAGGUGAGUGAGUUAUUGAAUAUGUGGCUGAGAGUGACCAACCAUUGAGGCUCACAUGAAGUUGUAGUGGCUGAAAGGAAGGGAUAAGAGACCAAAAACAUGCUCAGAGAGAUUCUUGUUAGGAUCAAAUUGGGGGCAUAGAUAUAUCUCUUUGGUAAGAGUUCCCAUAAUUUAGGUAUUAAUGAAAUAGGUAUAAAAUAAUUAUAUAUCUUGAUAUGAUCAUGUUGUUAAUGAUGAUCUAAUGAGUUGAAAUAUUAUGUUUUCAACUGUGUAUAUCUAAUAAAUACAUCAAGUGCUUAAACUUUAAUAUAGAAAUGGUCCACAAUGGCUUGUAUGACUCAUCGUCUUAUAAACAUAUUAUUUAGAUUAGGCUAAAGUGGUCAAAGUAAGAAGAAAAAUUGAUACUUGAUUUGAAGUAUGAAGAAUUCUUCUUAGACUUUGUGUGUAGUGUUGUUAGCUUAUUGUUGUGUUAAAGUCUAUUUUGAUGUAUUUUGGAAAGAAUGACCAACUAGAACCACAAUAAGAUGUUGCAAAACUUAUUUAAACAAGGGCUUGUGAGCAAGAUUUUUUUUUUUCCCUUUCAUGUACAAAUAGUAUGAUGAAUGAAAAUUUGAUUCUCGAUUGUAAUUAGUGUUUUCUUUAAGUUUUAAAUCAUGCAAUGAAUACUUAAAAUUAGCUUACGAUGUCAAAGAAUGUAAGUAAACAAGGUUUUACAUGUUGGAUAUAUAAUAAAUUCAAAACCUUUACCUUCCACAUUGAAUGAUUACAUUUUUUCUUUAAGUGCCCUUUAAUCAUUCUCAUUUUGUUUAAUCAUUUUCUAUAAUGUCUCGAGCAUAGUAGAUUUCUAUAAAUUUACAUGAGCAUUCCUUAACUCUUCUUGAGUGAUCCUAAACUUAGCAUUGAAACAAUCAUAAUUUAGGCGAAGAUGCUUAUACGUCUUCAUAAUCAUCCUUGGUUGCUAGCCAUUUUUCCUUAAUUACUUUAGGAUGUUUAGUGAAGAUGAUUACAAAUAUUAACUAGUUCACUCAAACAUUUUUGUAUGAGUGUAGAACAAUUUUGCAUUCUUUCCACAUCACUUAUGCAUCUUCGUUCCAAGAAAUAAGAUAUAGAACUCUUAUGUUUUGCCUACACCACUUGGUUCUCCAACCCAUUGUGCUUAUGCAUCCUUUUUAUAUCACAUAUGCGACUUGCUUCUCAUUAAGAUAUUUCACUUACAUGUUCUUGUAUAUGCAUAAUUUAGGAAAAAAUAUUUAAAAAUAGAAAAAUAGAUUUUAAUACAUAUAUUUGGAACAAUUAAACUCAAACUAUGCAAGUGACCUUGUCUACUAUGUAGGUGACUUUGUUUACUACAUAGGCAAAGUAUAUGACAGUGAUAGUCAAGGAAGCUAUGUGGUUGCAUGGUUUAGUGGAGAAUUUAAGAGUAAAGCAAGAUCACAUUGUGAUUUAUUAUGAUAAUGGGAGUGCCCUAAAUUUAUUUAAGAAUAAAAUUCAUCACUCAUUGGUAAGGCAUAUUGAUGUCUAAUUUCAUUUUAUUUAAGAGAUUCUAGAAGAAAGUCAUACCUUAUUUUAGAAAAUUACUGAUGUUAAUGAGGUAGGUCAUAUUUAAAUGUGAUCCAUGUUGAAAGGAUCAAUGUACCUUUAGGUGUGUAGUAGCAAAAUCUUUAAAGAUUGUUUGGUUAGCUUCAUUUAAAUUACUUAGUUAAAUAUUACAUAGUCAAUUAUAUGUUUGACUUUUUGAACUAGAACAUUUAGAUUUUGGUUGUUGUAGUUGUUAUAAUUACUAUUUAGGUUUUUAAAAAGGUAUAAAUUUAUAAUUUUAGUUGGUUUUAUUAGUUUCAUUUAAAAUUCCCAAGAAACUUCAGUGAAGGAAAACAGAGCAAGAGAGUUUUUGAGAAUUGCUUAUAAUUCUUGUAUAUUAUUUUGAUAUCUUUAGUGCAUUCAUCUUAUCAUUACCAUAGAUGAAGGCAUAUUGUCAAACCAUAUAAAUUGUUUAUCUCUUUGUCUAUAUUGAGCUGCCAAGAUCAGUUCCUUGUAAUCCAAUGGCUUAUUUUGAUUCCACGAUGCUACAAUGUAUUGAAUUAAGCAUAGGGAUUAACAAUUCCAAUCAUAAACAAUAAGAGAUCCUCCCCAACAGCAUAAAAAACUUGAGAGACCCGAGGCUCGCAUCUCAGAAUAUGCUCUUGAACUAACACUAAAGAUGCCUAGAUUCACCACCACCCUUUCCACCCCAAUGUUGUUAGAAGUAGAAUCUAAUCAAAUGAAGAGUUCCUGAUAGUUGCGAGUUCUUAUGAUUUUUUUCCAUCAUUUUCUGACUUUUUUUUCAUCCAUUACGUACGUCCUUCUGAGUGGAGUUCUCCUUUCAUGGUAUCAGAAAAUCAUACUCAAUGAAUUCGUUAUAACCAGACCAUAACCAGAACCUCCAUGGCGUGUUUUUCCUGUGUUUUUUCUGAAAAUAUAGCUACAUUUAUACAUAUUUUUAAGAAUAUUAAAGGCAUUAUCAAAGGAAGAAACCGAGAAAACUGAUUGUAUAGAAAUCUAUAAUUGUGCUUACUUUCAGUCCUAGUCACAAAGUUUCAACCAGAUAAAUCAUGUCGAGAGAUGCCCAGCAAGUGGUGGUGGUCCAGGAUGCAUCCAGAGAUGUUAGUUCAAGAGCAAUCCUUAGGAUUCUCCAUGACUUAACACUUAAGCCUGGAGAUGACCUUACACUCCUCGGAGUUCUUCACCAGGUUAAUAAUCCUUGUACGCUUUCUUUCAUGGGAGGUAGGAAAAUACGUAAAAAUUCAUGCCUUUUUUUUCUUUUGAGUACAGAAGAAAAAUCCAAGAAGAAAGAAAUAUUAAACAUAGCACCAGGAAAAUGAUAUAUACCAAAAGGGAAAUUGUGCAGGUUUAUAGAUUGAUGAAUGAUGUGUCAGAUUUCCCAAUACAACUAUUUUAUUCUAAGGUAUACUUUGAUAAUAGAGACAACUAUUUUAUGAUCAAAUGAAAAAAUGAGGUAUAACAAUUAACCCAAGACAAAUCCUUAAGUGAUACUUUAGUUUUUUAUGAAAUAAAUGUUCUUUUUAUAUUAGUAUAAAAGAUUAUUUUUUCUUAGUUUCAUUUAGGGAAAAUUUUGAUUUUUUAAAGUUUUAAAGUUGGUUAAUGUAAAAUUUGUUUUUUAUCUUUUAGAUUUUCUUUUCCAUAUUUACAAAAAUAGAUAAUUAAAUAAACUUAGAUAAAAAUAGAAUUUUCAUGUUCACUUGUUUGCCUUAUGAAUUUAUUUUACUAUUAAAAUAGGUGCUUCUUAUUAUUUAAUUUUAAAAGUGAAGAUGCAUGUUUUAAUAAAUUCUAAGAGAGGACAAUGUUUAAAAUAAAAAAUUGAAAUAUCGUGGAAAUUAAUAUUUUAUUUUAAAUACAGACAAUUUCCAUGUAAUUUUGUUUGUAUAUUAUCACUACAAAUCAACGAUGACUCCAAAUAGCCAUUGGCCUUAAGAGAUGUCAAGCUCACAACAAAAAUAAUGUUCUAAGUUCUCUAAAAAUAUUUUAAUUAAACACAAAGGUAGUCCAUCAUCUAAUCAACAUUUGCAUAUACAAAACCAUUUUAGCAAAAGUUACAUCAUCCGUUAGUAUAAGCAAACAUGAAUAAGUAUUUCCUAAUUAAGAAAAAUAUUAAUUCAAAUAUUUUAAAUUGGCCAACAAAUUAGGAUAUUGAAAUAAUGGUCUCUAUAUCAAAUGAGUUAUAAGAAAAGGUAACAUUAUCUUUCAUCUAAAUUUCUAUGCUUUCACAAUCUUCAAAAUUAAUAAAACAAUAAGUUAUCUUUCAUUUGAUGCCAUUGGCUAUAUUGUAUUUUCUCGUGACAAAGUGAUGAUUAUCUUUUUUUUUUUUUUAUGCACUUGAUUGAUUUGGUUUCCACCAAUGUGACUUUAGUGAUUUAUCCUUCGCCGGUUGUUAGGAUAAUGGUAGUGGUUAAUAUGAUGUCGUCAAUAGAAUAACUACCUACUCUAGGUAGUAUGUUGGAUAUGAUGUUAUAAACCUACUUAUAGAUUAAUAUAGUUCAACAAAUACUAAUUUGAGAGAGAGAGAGAUAGGUCUAUGGUGAGUUGUAGUGAAAGGGAAGGAUUAAGGCUAGGGUUUGUGUGGGUAUGAAAAAGAUAAAAACAUUUUUAUUUUCAUAUCCAUUUUUGGAUUUUAAAAAAUAAAAAUAAAUAGGUGGAUAUAGAAAGAGUUCAAGUGGUUCGUUUGCAAUUUCCCUUCAUAAAACAUCACAGUUGUCAAUGAGAUCUAUGCACUAAGUAAUUUUAACAACCUUUGUUUGUGAAUUGCUUGUUACUGCAUUAAGUUUUGGUAUUCUCCUCCAUGUAGGUGAAACAUAUCAUGUUUAUGUAGAAUCAUUAAUAUAGUGUUUAACAGCUUCCAUGAAAAAGAAAGCGUGAGAGCUUGGGGAUAUACUUCCCAACUUAGAGGACAUCUCAAUAGCAAUGAAUAGAUUUUCAUAUAAAUGGUUAAAUAGUAUAUAAAAUAAUCGAAGAUGUCUUGUUUUAGUUUACCUCCUAGGUAGAUAGCCUAGUUACUUCAAGUAGUUUUGGCAACACCAUUUACUAUCAUCUUCAACGAGUAUAUAUCCUUCAAGGCAAGGCCUCACUUUCUUAGCUCAACAAAAAGUUUAUUAUGAUAAGUUAUCUUGAUAACUAAUGACUAAUCUUGGUGUAUAUAUAUAUAGUUAAGAGGGAUGUGAAUCAAUGAGAAAUAGUUUCCACUUUGUGCUAAUGAUAGGUUUGAGUCAAGGUUCAAAUUUUCAUCCAUGGAAGUAUGAAUGUUGAUCAAUAUGAAAUUCUGGUCCAUCUUGUGAUAACAAAUAGUUUAUCAUAUGUAACUCAAAAUUAUUCUUUCUAUACAUUCAUCUUGUGCACCCACCUUUCUGUUUCUUUAUUGUACGUAUCACUUUCUCUUAUUCCAUAAGGAGAAGCCACUAGACUUGAGAAAUCAAUUAGAGAAUGAUACAAUUCCAACAAGAUCGAGUAUGAAACAUUUCUUAUCAAUCUUUUCAUAGUGACUCAUAGCUUGUAGUAAAUUAAUGGGCUAUUUGUUUUUUAACUUGAGUUUUGAAGCAAGUUGUUUUAAGAUUUAAGAUAAAAGUAAAAAAGAAAUUUACUUUUUCUAUUAACACAAAAUUAUCUUAGAAAAUAUGAUACGUUAAAAAAUAACCAUUUUAAAAAUGACAAAUCUUAUAGAAAAAAAUAAUAUAAAAAAAUAACACUUAACACUAUUAAAUAGUAUUUAGUUUUGAGUUAUAUUAAGGUAUAUAUAUAUAUAGACACACACCACCUAAGGUGAUGUUUUACUUGUUUGUUUGUUUUUUCUAAAAUCUAAAUAGAUUUGAAUUUGGAUUGAAUUUAAAUAGAGCAAAAUGUCAUAAGUGUUUAGACUCUUUGUGCUUUAUUGUAUUUGAAAUAUGUUAAGUGUUAAAUUGUUUAUUUUUACUUAUGUCAAAAUACUAUAAGUAUUAAAUUUAUUUAUUUCACUUGUUAAAAAUGUCUACAAAAUUAAUUAUAGUAUUUGUUAUUAUUUUAGUUUUAAAAAUUUACAAUUUUUAAAAUAUAUAGUAAUUUAAAUAUUUCCAAAAUAUCAAAAUUAUUACGAUAAUAAACAUUUUAUAAUAAUUAAUAUUGUAAUUAUUUAAGCAUAAUUGGAUAAUAACAAGGAUUUCCUAUUAUGCUUGGUUACUAAAAAAAUAUUUUAAAAAAUUUCUAAUUUGACACUUAUUUCUAUAUGGUGUGUCUUCAUAUUUAAAUUUAAAUAUUUUCCAAAAUAUCAAAAUUUAUUACUAUAAUAAAAAUUUUACAAUAACUAAUAUUGUAAUUAGUUAAGAAUAAUUAUAUAAUAAUGAGACUUUCUAAUUAUGCUUGAUUACUAAGAAAAUAUUAAACAAAACUUCUAAGUUAACAAUUAUUUCUAUCUGGUGUAUCUUUGGAUUUAUGGAUUUGUAAUUGAAAAAUGUGUUUUAUUAUUGAGAUUAAUUCAUUAAUUUUUAUAUUUUAGAUUUUCAACAUUAAAUCCUAACAUUUUAUUUUUCAAAAUUAAUUAUUAUUGCUUAUUCUAAUAAUGUGGACCCCGCAUUUCGGCUCAUGCACUUCCACUCGAUGGCGAGCUCGAUUUUUAUUUGAAAAACGAUUUUAUUUAUUAGAAAAUGACUUGGAGUCACCACUUAUUUUUGUUUUAUUUUUAAAGGGUAAACAAAAUACGAAAGAAAACCCUAAGUGUGACUCCUUAUUUUGGAAAAGAUAAUCCACGAAAAACCGGAUCGGGCUCGGGGGUCAGGUUACUUAUCGGGAAGGUAUGGUAAAGACCGUAGCACCCCUCUAAGUCCCUAAAGUCGGGUCUCUACUAAUAAAAUGAAGCUAACGUGGCAAUUGAUGAGGGAAUCAAUGAAUACUUAGUGUAAUCAUGCACAAGUGAGAAUUAAAACAUACAUAUAGAAAGACCAGAAUGGGAGUAGAUGCGUACCUGGGUGAUGAGCCACAAUGCGCUAUCAAGAAAUGGGAUUAGUGCAUAGUAAUGAACAUAAAAUGUGUCAAUCUUAUCACCAAACAAGAGAAAGAACCACCAAUAGCACGCAUGACAUUUCGUUCAAAUUCAUUUUUAUUUUAAAGAAAAUUUAUUUGAUGUUGGGCCCCCACCAUAGCCCAUCUACUUUUGAGUGAAUCGAUUUCGUAAAUUCCAUCAUCAAGAAUUACGAAAAAUAAAUUCACACUUAUUUUGAAACAUUUUGAAAAUCAUGGAAAAUUCAAAAGUGGCUCGCCGGAAAGGAAAUGGUGGCCAAAUUUCAUUGAAAAUGGGAUUUUUAGGUCCUAAAAAUAAACUAAGGAUGAAAACUUAAAAAAAAUGUCAAAAUUAUUUGAAGAAUUUAAAAUUUGAGAAACCAUUUGAAAACUGGAAUAUGAUGGAUUAUUUUAAAAUCAAGGAUGAUGAAAUGAAAAGAGGUGGUACGUGGUCACCAAGACUACAUGUCAAAAGUGACCAUGCAACUCAUGCAAGAGUAGGUCUACGGGUAAGAGUACUGGAAUUGGGUAUAAGAUAACCAAUAGGAAUGGGGUAAAUUAAGAGACCCCAGCGGCAAGCAACUUCAUGAGGCCUUCCUUUGUUGAUGUGUACCAGAACCAACCUUCUUUUUGCCUUUUACAAACUUCUGUAAAGAUCCACCUCUACAAUUCUGAGCUUUUAUGCAUGAUUCAAAGAUAGCAUGAUGUUGUGCUUGGAUGUUCUCUUGGCUAUUACUGCCUUUUCUCCUUGUUGACCGAGAAUUAGUACCAUCAGGCAUCAAGUUAUGCAUUUCUUCCCUCAUCCAAACAAACAAGUUUUCUCUUGCAACUUUAAGAUCCUCUAAUAAGGACUCCAUGAAGAUUUUAAAAUCAUCCAAUGUUGCAGGAUCACAUGCAUUGCUCUUACUCUUCUUCUUAUUAACUUUCUUGAAAGAAUCCCUCUUCGUCUCUUUACUAUAUAAAUUAUUCCUCUUGCUUGAUCCAAUCUGCAUUUUGUUAGCUUUCCCAAUUUUGAAUUGAUCCCCUGAACUACGAUCAGACUUACCUUCUUGUUGAGAUCUAGGAGUACCACUGGUUUCAUCAUUUUCAGGCGAAAUAAGAGAGGAAACCAGUUUGUGCUUCUUGAGAACUGGCUCACCACUGGAACUCGAUUUGGAAUUAUCACUUGAAGAAUCAACGUCACUGUCUCUCCUCCUGAACUCCCACCUCUGCUGAAAUUUCAGGUCUUCACUCAUGUUAGUACUUGGGGAUAUAAUCACAACUGUAUAACUAUGUGCUCAAUCCUCGGGAGAGUCCGACCAUAAACGACUAGACCCACUUAUCAUCAAAGUUUCAACUGCUUGUUUGGAGAAUGAAAUCAGUUUGAUGGAAGGAUUUCCACUGCAACUGCACCUUGAACUCGUUUGAAAGAUUGUACCAGUGAUUCUAGCAGCACCCCUCCUCACAAAUCAAAUUUUGUGAAGAGACACCAUGAUUAAACCGCUCCAUCAUUCUCUUUCAUACACCCAGCACAAGAGCAUCCUCUGUGGAUGAAGCCCAACCAUUGCUCUGCAUCCACUUGGAACAAUCUUCUUAGCCCCAGAUGGGAGCUUGAUCCUGCUGGUGCCAUUAUCAGGGUUGUGGCUGACGACAAUAGCUCACUUGCCGGAUGCCCUGGCGAAGACACCUCGAUCACCAACGUGAUCUUCAACGUUACAGACCUCGGCACCUUCGGGAGUAGAGCGCAGGGGCAGAACGUUAUCGGCAAUGAGGGUGGCUUUCUUACUGCAGCAAACGAACUGGCCCGUGUAUAUGCUCUCAGCCACCACGAUAGGUUCAUCAUGACUGCAACUCCUACUAAACCAUAUCCCUGUCUCAGCAUCAAUAACCAGCUAGGUACUGCAUGUAUCACCAACACCACUAUCGAGGUCCAGGCUAUCACAAGUUCUGUUGCUAGGCAGAGCAGCAGGAAGUUGGUUAUCAAAGACAUGGUAAAUUUUAUCACCACCUAGGCGCACGCCAUCGAGAUGCUCUUUGUAUGUCUGAUCGAAGACACAAGAAAUUUCCAUGAUCAUGUAUAACUUUCUUCCAUUCUUCUUCAGUUGCACCAGUACCAAAUCCAUAUCAGCCAAGGACCCUUCACGCACAAGUAGCCACAGAUCUGUCAGAGAUGCACUUGAUACAAUUUUGCGAGCAACUGUAUGAUGAUUCUGCUUUUGGCCUGGAGGUGGAACUAAACCUUCCACUAAUCUAUAUUUUUCUCAAUAAUAUAUAUCCUCUAACCUUGACAAAAUAAUAACUUAAAUCCCAGUGUUGACUCCUUGCUUCUCGCCACUUAAGCUAACAAUGAUUAUGCCUUGUCACCAGAUGACUUCAAGAGCUAGGUUGUCCAAAAUCCUGUUAAGAAAUUAGUCCACACCAACUGAUAACAAGCUGAUGUGGCCCUCGAAGACAUUGAUUGAACCUAGUCCAUGUUGUAGUCACUUUUUGAAUUUCAUGAUCAAGAAAAUGAAGAGGAAGCCAUUUAGAUGCAUGGUUGAAAAUGGUCAACUGUUAUGCCCCCAUCAUCAUCACCUCUAGUAUUAUGAACACAAACCAGUUGCAACCGCCAUUCACAGACUCCCAUCACAGUUCAUGGGCCUGAAAUGAAUCUCCAACUAAUGGUGUAAGCAACAAGCUGAAUGUUGUUAAAAAUAUGAGAAAUGGGUGGAGAGUUGUGCGUUAAGAAGCAGAGAAUGGAAUAAGGGAAUAUACCCCUUCCCUCAAAGGCACAGAGAUGGAAUCAAGUAAUUGAAGCCGAAGGAAAGCCUUUCGGGUAGCCAAGAAAGCUUGAUUUACAUAUUCUGCAUUACUUUCAGCAACAUUGGCAAUCACAUCCCUGUCUGAGAGGCCAACUGGUUGUCCUUUGUGGUGAGUUCAGUGUCAUUUUAAACUUCUCCAUUGUAUCAAGGGAUAGCCAGCACAAGAAAGAAAUGAUACAAUGAAGCAGACAUGAGGCAUCUUUAGAAAUCCUCUGUGGAUGACAUUUUAAAGGCUCUGUGAUAUUCUGAAGCAUUGCUACUCAACUAUGACCUCCAUCCCUGAUAUAAAACACUAAACCAACCUCAAUCUACUUAACAUGCAUCUCGGGUACUCCAUAGAGAUUAAGCAUCUGUAAUCAUAGCUUCCGCUCCUUGAAUUUGCGUUCUCAGAUGGAGAUGCACCAAUCAAAGCAAACCACAGACAAACACCAAAAACAGAGACGUAUAGAGAAGAAAAUUGAUAAAACAAAACAGGGAUAGGUGAAAUGAGAGUUUGUUAAGCAAAACCUGGUCCCAUAAAUUAUCAACAGGCUUACCAGUUAGUGGGAGGGGAAAUGGGUUUAAGGAGAAAUGAUAGGAGAGAUACAUUCAGACAUCACGCAAUAAAACUGGACAAGAUUCAUACUAUUUCUCUCAACUAAAACCCAUAAACAAUAGAUGGAUAUAUAGUCAUAGCAAAUCCAGUGGAUGCUCAGAGAUCAACAAAAGUAGCCAUAUGAUAUCCACACACAAAUAGCUAAAUAACACCCACUAAUGAACAAAAGAGAAUGAAUAGCAAGAGAAAAAAAUAGAGAUGGAUAAGAAACAUACCUGGAAAUACCCCUCUCCAGUAAAAUCAGCUGAACUGCUAGUCCAUUGCUCUCUCCCCCUUCCUCUGGUUCCCCUCAAGUUAAAACAAUACCCUUCUCAAAUAUCUCCGACCAAAAAACCUUCUCCAAAAACUUCCCUUUCUCCUCUGCCAACCCCCCUCCAAAAAGCAUCUCCCUCUUCUCUACAACUGGCAGAUACGCUCCUCCCAUAACAGAAACGUUCUUCUCUAAACGUCCCUUUGGGAUCUCUUAUCAAACCUCUAAUGACUCUCAAGACUAGGUCACCGAUAUGUAGUGGUAUGGGCUUGACCCGCUUUUUGAAAGCGCGGGCCAUCUUCCUCUAUUAUGCACGAACAUGGUCUGUUGCUCUCAAUCUCAUCUCAUAUAGGAGAUUGAGCUGAUCAAAUCGAGCCUGAGCCCAAUCCGCCUCGGGAAUCUGCUACUUUAGUGCUACUCUCAAUGAACUCAUCUCGAUCUCAACUGGUAGCACUGUCUCCAUACCGUAUACCAAUGAAUAAGGUGUGGCUCCUGUAGAGGUGCGAAAAGAAGUCCGAUAUGCCCACAAUGCGAAAGGGAGCUUCUCUGACCAAUCCCGAGAAGUCUCAACCAUCCUCCGCAAUAUCCUCUUAAUAUUCUUAUUCGCAGCCUCUACUGCCUCAUUCGUCUACGACCUAUACGCAAACGACCUAUGAUGUCGGAUGUCGUAUCUCUGUACUAAGGUAUCAACCUCUGCUCUGAAAUGUACCCCUCUAUCUGAAAUCAACUCAUGAGGGACUCCAUAGCGACAGAUAAUGUGUGAUCUGAUGAAACUAGCAACUCCAGCUGAUGUCAAUCUCUCAUAUGAGGCGGCCUCCACCCACUUGGUGAAGUAAUCGAUGGCGACCAGGAUGAACUCAUGACCACUGGAAGAUUUCGGUGAAAUCUUUUCGAUGAUGUUAAUACCCCAUAUAGAAAAUGGCCAUGGUGAAGUCAAUGCGUGCAACUCAGAGGACGGCACGUGAAUGAGAUCUCCAUGUAUUUGACUCUUGGGACAUCUCUGAACAAACUGACAACAAUCUGUCUCCAUGGUCAACCAAAAAUAGCCAAUCCUCAUGAUUUUACGGGCCAACAUAUGCCCUCCCAUAUGUGGUCCGCAGACUCCCGCAUGAACCUCUCACAUCACUCUAUCGACAGAAGCGUAGUCCAAGCAUAAUAACAGCAUCCCAUCAGGUGAUCGUCUGUAUAGUGUCUUGCCACAAAUCACGAAUCAUGCAGCCAACUGUCUCAAUGUUCUCUUAUCCUUGGCCGUGGCGGCCUUAAGAUAUAUGCCAAGUCUCAAAAAGUGAUAUAUGUCAUGAUACCAUGGCAAACCAUCGUCUAUCUCCGUAUCAUCGAUCAGAAAACAAUAUGUAGGAGCAAAUCUGGACUUAAUCAGUAAAUGACGAAUAGUGGCAUCAGCAGGAAUGUCAAUCAUGGAAGUUAGAGUAGCUAAGGCAUCAGAAAACUAGUUAUGCGCUCUAAGCAGAUGUGUGUAUCUCAAAUCAUCAAAUCUCCCAACCAGUAGCUCCAAAUAUGGCGGUAAGGCCUAAGUUUCACAUCUCUAGUCUUCCACUCGCCCUGAAUCUGUCUCAAAACCAGAUUGAAGUCGCCAAACACCUCUAUCUAUCUAAUCCCGAGCUCAAGGGCCGUCUCUAAUCCCAAGAUACAGACCUCAUACUCAACAAUGUUGUUUGUGGCCGGAUGUCGAUCCAAGAAUGCCAAACAAAUAGAUCGGGGAAUGUGAUCACCAUGAGGGGAUAUCAACAAGACGCCUAUCCCGUAUCCAGAAUGGUUGGCUGCACCAUCAAAGUACAUGUGUCAACCUGAUAAACUAGUCACAACAGCGACAUCCUCGCCUGGGAAGUCAUCAUCAAUGGCUCUACCAUUGGAAACUAGUAAUGAGGCUAAGUGAUCUACAACAAUGCUCCCUCUUAUGGACUUCUGAGUGACAUAAUGGAUGUCAAACUCGGUCAGAAGUACCAGCCAUCUCAUGAGACGACCGAUCAAAGCGGGUCUGUCAAAAAAAUAUCUCAGAAGAUCUAGAUGGGAUAUCAAGUGCACUGAAUACUCGGUCAUGUAAUGUCUUAGUCGGUGAGUGGCCCAAACCAAUGCCAAACAGUAGCGCUCAAUCAUGACAUUCCUUGCCUCAUAGUCUAGCAUCCUCUUACUCAAAUAAUAAAUGGCUUAGUCAUUGCCUGAAUCAUCAAGCUGAGCUAACAUGCACCACAAUGCUACAUCUGAAAUUGACAGAUAUAGGAGUAAGGGACAACCUGGUGUAGGAGGCGCCAAGACUGGAGGUGACAACAAGUACUUUCUGAUCCUCUCAAAUGCACGCUGACACUGAUCAUCCCAAACAGUAGGUUGACUCUUCCUCAAGAGUCGGAAAAUGGGCUCAUAGAUGUCUGUCAAUCUGAUGAUGAAUCUACUGAUAUACUGAAGUCUACCCAAGAAGCCCCUGACCUCUCUCUCUGUCCUCGAUGCAGGCAUGUCAAGGAUGGCUCUGAUCUUAUCCGAGUCUACCUCUAUGCCUCUCUCUCUGACCAUAUACCCCAAGAGUUUCCCAGAAGUCACUCCGAAAGUGCACUUCUUGGGAUUCAGUCUCAAUUUGAACCGUCGGAUCCUCUCAAAGAACCUCUCUAGAGUUGCUAGGUGAUUUGGUCUGUCUUGGGAUUUCACUAUCAUGUUGUCUACAUAAACCUUGACAUCCCGAUGCAUCAUGUCAUGGAAGAGGGUGGUCGUCGUUCUCUAAUGGGUGGUUCCUGCAUUCUUCAAUCCGAAUGGCAUGACUCUAUAGCAAUAAGUACCCUACUCGGUAAUGAAGGACGUCUUCUCCAUGUCCUUUGGAGCCAUCAAGAUCUUAUUGUACCAAGAAAAUCCGUCCAUAAAGGACAACAUCGAAUGACCUGUCAUACUAUCAACCAACAUAUCGAUGUGUGGGAGAGGAAAAUCAUCCUUAGGACUGGCCUUGUUGAGAUCUCGGAAAUCAACACAAACUCUCACCUUGUCGUCCUUUUUGGGAACAAGGACUACAUUGGCCAGCCACUCCGGAUACUCGACCACUGACAAAAAUCCUACACUGAGUUGCUUCUGGAUCUCCUCCUUCACUUGCAAGCUCCAACGAGGGUGCAAUCAUCUCAACUUCUACUUAACCGGUCUAGCAUGGGGCAGAAGUGGCAAACGAUGUUGGACGAUAGAUGGAUCAAGGCCUGGCAUGUCCUCAUAGGACCAUGCGAAAACGUCCAAGUAUGCUCUGAGCAACUGGAUGAGGUUGUCCCUCUCAUCAUCAGAUAAAUCUGAUCUGAUCCUCAACUCCCUAGGCUGAUAUAUUGUGCCGAAAUCAACAAUCUCCAUGUCCUCUAUAGCAGGUGAAACUCUCUGAUCAAAGGGAUCCGAAUCGGAAAUAGAAGAUGAGUCAUCAUCUGAGUCGUGUUGUGCAAUCUCAUCAUCAAUAUCAAAAAUCUGUGAUGUGGGUGAAGAUGGUGCAGAUAAAACAAUAUCGUAAAAGAGAGGCAAAUUUUAAAAAAUGCUCAAAUCCAUAGAUGAAAAGUCAGAAACAUAGUCAUGAUGGGAGACAAAUCCCGAUAAAACAUCAAAUGAAAGAGGUGAGUCUACAAAGUCGAACAUUCCCUCAACUAGGCCAAUAGGGCCAUCAAGAAAAUCAUCAACAGCUAUAAUGUCCUCAGUAAUCUCCGAAGUAGGGGCAGUCUGGAUCUCCUCAGCGAUCUCAAUGAAAGACACCCCGAAGAGAUCAAAUGGUGAAGUGAGCUCAGGCUGGACUAUCUCCUCAAUCUGGCUCAAGCUCAAUGCAAGCAUCUCAUCGACGUACUCGUCACAUGGCAUAGCUCCGUCUACUAUGUCGCUAAUCUCAACAAAUGUCUUGUGAUCAUCGAUCUCAUCCAAUAAGCAAAGCGUCAUAAGGCUCGUGCGAUCUGGAGAGGCAGGAGCGAUCAACGCAGAAGUCGAAGGAUCAAGGGCUCCGUUACUCAAUUGUAACUGCUGGACGAGGCGCUGAAGCUCGGCCUCCUUGGUGGUGUUGAAUCCUCUGAUGAUCCCAUCAGAUGGUGCAUGUGACUCCGAUGCCCUCACAAAGUAAUCUGCCAGGCUCAUGGUGUAUGGGCGAACAGGAUAAUAAAAGAGCGUAUGAGUCAGUCGAGCCCUCACCCUCUCCUUGCUCAAUCGCGCCAUAUAACGAUAAUCGGCCUCAGUGGGGAUGAACCUGAGUCCGAAUGGUACGUCGUGAUCAGGGAUGGCUAUGAACUCACUAGGCCCAUGCUGACACUACCCUAACCCUAUGCCGGGAAAAUAAGGCAUACUCUGCAUCAUAUCGAGCACCACCGUGCUACUAUGCUGGUCAAAGGACAUGGCUACGAAAUCUCGGUAGAAAUCUUCUAUCUCCACGGUUUGUACCUCAUCAAAGGUGAAUCCAGUCAGAAAAAGAUCGUCAUCAGUGUGACUAAUCUCAAGCACAGGCUUGGCAAAAAUGAACAUAUCUCCCACAGACUGCACCACGACGACCUGGCCAUCGUGAAUAAACUUCACCUUUUGAUGAAGGGAAGAAUGAAUGGCCCCAGCUCUGUGGAUUCACGGUCGGCCCAGAAACAGGUUAAAGGAUGUAGGAAUCCUCAAAACCUGAAACACGGUGACAAAAGUGGCCAGAUCAAUUAGUAGUUCAAUCUCUAGUGUGCCCAUGACCUCCCUUCGAGUACUGUCAUACGCGCGAACGGUCUAAGUGGAGGGACAGAAAUCAGAUGGUGCAUAGCCGAGGGCAGUGAUGGUGGCCAGAGGACAAACGUUCAGGGUCGAGCCAUUGUCCAGAAGGACAGAUGGGACUCGACGGCCUGAACAACCAACAGAUAUAUAGAGUAGACGCGUGUGGUCUGAGCCCUCUGGUGGCAAGUCAUCAUCGGAGAAUACAAUGCAUGUGGCUCUACCGACCGUCAUCAUAUGAAUCAAUCCCUCAUGGGAGGUGGUAGUCUUAACUCUAAUCUGGCUCAGGGCUCAAAUCAGAGCAUCAUGGUGAGUGGUCAAGGAUGCCAACAAACUCCAGAUGGAAAUACGAGCCUGAGUGCUCUAUAGCUGCCUCAAAAUCUCGGCGUCCUCUACUCUGACCUCAUCGGGAACAGAUGUACCCUCAACUGGCUUAGCUGCUGCGCGAGGUGGCUAUCGCAACACUCUACCUCCUCAAAGAAUAUACUAAACAUCCAAAGUUUGAGAAUCAUCAACAUGCGGAGCUUGAACCUCCUCAACAUUCGAGAUCAAGAUGAAUGGCGUCUGGACGCUGUAAUAUGGAAAAAUCAAUGGCUCAACAGUGGUAGUCUGUACUAAUGCCACCUGGGGAACUAAUCCGAAUGAAAUGGGCAUCUGAGGCCCCAAAGUCGCUCCGUCCAUCUCAUAAAUCCCAUUUGACAUGAUAGGCUCUGGCUCAAUGUCAUCACAGCUCAACAUAUGGAUAUAGUCAUCAUGAUCAAAGAACUCCAGGAAAUGUAUGCUAUCGACCGGUGGGGGGACCACAUGUGUAGUGUGGGCAAGUAAUGGGUUUGUGGUUACACUCGGCUGACCCAAGUGCACCAAACCCUGGUCGAUCAGAUCCUGGAUGGCAUGCCUCAAAGUGGUGCAGCGAUCGGUCUCGUGUCCAGGCCCUUGAUGGUAUGCACAGUGCAAAUCCAUCCUGAAUUAAGGUGGAAUCGGCUGAGGUGGCAGCCUGGGAGUGAGAACGGUCAAUAACCCGGCCUCUGUAAGCUUCCGAAGAGCCUAGCUCAAUGGCAUGCUUAAUUGCGAGAACUACCUCUGUGUCCUCAAAGCAGAUGGAGCAAAAGUCUGCUGAGCUUUGGGUUGAGGAUAAGGCGUUGUGGGUCUCGCAGUGAAUUGAGCAGCAUAGCAUGGCUGUCCUAUGGCCGUGUAGGAAAUUGGGGGUCUCUCAAUGUCCUGGGUGGCAUAAUAAGGCAAAGCCAAAGUCUGUGGCAUGUAGACUGAUCAUAAGUCGGGUGAGGCGCUCGUGGCCUAUACUGCUGAGGUGGAUAUGAAGAAUGAGCCUCAGGAAGCUAUGGGAUCGGCUGAUGGCGCCUGGGAGGUCUCUAACUGGAAGAACUAAUGGCGCUCACGUCAACUGAUCUUUGUCCUCCAAAGGGCUUCUUCCCCUUAACAUCACUAGGGGAAGAAUCUGUCCACAAUCCUCUAGAGAUGUCGUCCUCGACAUCGUAUAAAGUCAAAACCAAUGAACCAAAAUCUGUGAAUGGUACCCUAACCACGUGUCUGGCGAUCCUGGGCUGUAAACUCCUCAAGACCAUCUAUAUCUGAUCUCUCUCUGAAGGUCUAUCAAUGAUCUCGACAAUCUUCCCACGCCAGCGGGAAAUGAAUGAAGAAACUAACUCAUCUAUUAUCUACCUCAGAGCCUCGAGCUUUCUCCUCGAUACAUCCACGACAGUGUUAAAUGAAAACUGUCGUAAGAACUCCUGGGCCAAGUCGUCCCAUGUUCGGCGUCGUGAGGACUUCAAGGAUGCAAACCAACGUUGGGCCGUCCCACUCAGAGAUAGUGGAAAUAAAGUGAUCAUCUGAGACUCAUCCAAUCCAUGAGCCCUCAUCACUGUGCUAUAGAGUCUGAGGUGGAUGCGUGGACAACUAAUGAUCGUAUAUCUCUUGAUGUCUGGCAUCCUAAACUUAGCCGGCAAACUGGCUAUCGGCAUACCCUCGAAAUCAUCCCAAACAAUUGAUCUAUCUGACACUCUCAUCUGCCUCAUACGCUGUUUAAGACAGUCCAUACGUGCAUGAGCAUCAUCAACGACAGUGGUCUGGACAACAGCGGGUGGAACAAUCUCAGAAUGUCCAUGUAAUAUAUAGGGUGAGGCCUGAGGCACUGAAGGAACGGGUGGUGGUGGUGGAUGUGGAUGUGAGUCAUACGACGUCUCAUCCUGAACUGUUGGUGGUCUACUUUGCUGACCACUGAUCUCCUGCCUGAGGCUAGCCAAAGCCUCCUGGAUAGAAGCCAUGGUAGCCGUAAACUGAUCCAUUGUAACAACCUGCUGAUCCAUACUCGGUCUCUCUGAAUACCGGACUAAUCUCCCCUCUACUCUGACCCAAGAAGGCGUAUCCAGACUGUGAACGAAGAUCCGAUCCUGAUCGAUUCUUCUCCUACUCCUCUCCUCAAGUCUCUCAAAACCAGCAUCCAAAAGCACCUCCUUCGACCUCUCCUAUCUUCACUCCCCUCAAAAGCACCAGAAGUCUCUCAAAAAUCUCUUUUGCCCCUUGCCAAAAAGCCCCCUCCUCUCCAAAAUAUCUCCCCACAAAACGCCCCCUACGCUUGCCAGAAUAUCCUCUCUCUCAUCCGAUCCUCCUAACAGACUGCGGCCUCUCUAGAAUGUUCUUUCCACGUGUUCAACUCUCAUUUGCUCCUCGAUUCCACUACCUAAUUCUCUGUCCACCAACCACGAGGUGAUACGUGGCUCCUUGAGAGCCUUCCACCUGGCAAAAUGAGUUGCAGAAAAUGCAUGAAAGUGAGGCCCCAAAAUGAGGGUCUACAAAUAGGUUUUUAGAUGAGUGUGAAUUGUGUUUUGGAAUUCUAACUAAAAAAAAUUCAUUAGAAUUGAUGAUAGUUUAUUUUAGUCUUGUUCUACUAUAAGAGGUUGAAUUAUAAAAAUUUGUAGUACAUACAUUUCUAAUAAAAAUGUUUAUGAUUUAAGUAUUGUUAAUUUUAUUAUUAAAUGAGGAAUCUACAAAAAUUUAUGAAAUUUAAUUUUGUUGAGAAUUUGAUGAAUUAUGAAGCAGAAACAGUAGCUAAAUGUGGUAGAAUUUUGAUUCAAGUUUUGGAAUUUAUGAAUUUAUUUAGAUUAAUUUGUUACCCAAAUUAAGUUACUUUUAUGUUGUUGGGCUUCUUUUAAUAAAAAAAAAAAAUCAUUAAAAUUUAUAUCUAAAUUUUAUCAAGAAUCAAGAGGAAAAAUGGACAAAAACAAAGCAUAUUUCAAUCAUUUCAUUUUUUUUUCUUGAUGACAACUUUGUUAAUUUAUAAUAUAUUCAUUUUUCUUCCAAAUUACACAAAAUUGAAAUAGUUUAAUUCUUUCUUCAGAUAAAAGUUAUCUAAAGUCAUAAAAAAAAAUGAAAUUGAUUUUAUUUUAUGUGAGGAAUUAGGUCUAAAUAUCAUAACACAGUUAGAGAUCAAAAAAAUAUAAAGAGAAAAAAAAUGACUUUUUCUAUUAAUAUAAAAGUUAAAAUUAAUUCAUUUUUUCCUUAAGUAUAUAUAUAUAUAUAUAUAUAUAUAUAUAUAUAUAUAUAUAUAUAUAUAUAUAUUUUAAAAAAAAAAGUAAUAAGCUGAAAAAUAAAUAGUUCUAAAAUGUAUUCAGUCUUGAAGCAACUUACUUUAACAUUUGAGUAAAAAAACUAAAUAAAAAAUAAAAAUAGAAAAAAUCAAGCCCUAAAGCAUUGGAUGAGCCAAUGAUCGGAUACUUGAUUUUAACUAAGCAGUUACUUGUCAAUAAUUGUGUUCAUGUUCAUCUCUGCCAAGUACCUUAAAAUGAAAAGGAACAAGUUCAUAUAAAAUCCAAUUUGUCUUUCUCACCCAACACAAUUGCAACCAUCCACCACCAAUUCAAUAUCUCGAAAAACCUUCAAUGUCUCUAAUAGAACCAAAAUCAUGUUAUAUUUGGGAACAUUAAAAUCUUGAUGUAAUGCAACAUUUCAAAAGAAUUUUUCACUUUGAUCUAUGCUCAUAUCAACAUUUCUCUUUGAUAUAGGCAUUUUUCAAAAGAAUUCACCUAUCUUUUCUUGCUAAAGCCUUAAAUUUCUCUCUUCUCUCCAUAACAAACCUUGAGCAUGCAACUUACUAAAUAGACAUUACAUAGGAUUCAAAAUUAAUUUUCAACAAUUCUCAAGUAUAGUGCCUAUUGCAUAAGCAAAUAUACUUUUAAAGAUAUUGUUGAUAGCCUUCUCUAUGCUAAUAGCACUUUUAAUGCUUGGGUUGAUCUUUAUGAUUGAUUCCACCAAAGCAAUGCCCCACGAAUCUUCCAAAUCGAGAAGCACAUAGUUGUUCUUGAGCAAAGAUCUAUGGAUGUCAACACAUACUACACUAAGCUCAAGGUCCUCUAGGAUGAGCUCAAAAAUUAUCAACCCAUUCUUGUCUAUCACUAUGGAGGCACAAAGUCUUGGUUAGACACCAACAAUAGGAGUACAUCAUGCAAUUUCUUAUGGGUUUGAUUGAGUCAAAUGCUUAAACUUGAACACAGAUCUUAAUGAUGUCUUUGCACUAGUUGUCCAAGAAGAAUGCCAAUGUACUAUUAAUCAAGGCUCUUUUUUUCCUAUCGAUUCUCUUAUGCCCAACAUUUCAAAUUCCUCUGCUUUUGUUACAACAACAAAUUUUUCUCGAAAUUCAACUUUAAAACCCAAGUGUGAGUGACCCUAAUAUUCCCACUGUGGCUUGCAAGAACAUAUUGUAAAUAAAUGCUAUCAUCCUGGCUAUAAGUCAAAAUCAAAGAAACCUGAAGUAAAAAAUUCAAGCCACCUAGGCCAAUGCAACUAUUAAUGAGACUAUUAACUCUGGUUCACCCCUUGGAUCUCUUACUUUAGCUCAGUGUCAUCAAUUGUUUGCAUUCUUGAGCUCUCAACUUCAUAACAACUUUCUUGUUAUGCUAGAAUCUCAAUAGCUAGAACCCUUUGUUUCCCAGUUCAAUGGUAUACUAUCUUUUUCUUCUGUCUCAUAAUUUUCCAAUUUCUUUUUCCACCUGGAUUUUGGACAUAGAAGUCGCACAUCAUGUUUGUUGUUCAUUAAGCACAUUUACACAAUCUACUCCAGCACAAAAUUCUUUUGUAACUUUGCCUAAUGGUCAAUCUGUUGUUAUUAAUCGUAUUGGUUAUGUGUUUUUGUCUCCUGAUCUCAUCCUUAAUAAUGUCAUGUUUGUUUCUAAUUUCCAUUUCAAUCUCCUCUUUAUCUGUUCGCUCACUCAAAGUUAUAAAUCUUCUAUUAAUUUUAUGGUUGAUUCUUGUACUAUUCAAGGCCAUACACGGACCAAAAUGAUUGGGAUGAGUAGAAGACAUGGUAGCCUAUACUUCUUAAAUAUAGUCAAUUUUCAUUCCACUACACCACAAAUUUUCAGUCCUUGUAAUAAUGUUUCGUUGUCUCAAAAUGAAAUUUGGUUUUACCAUUUAGGUCAUCCUUCUUAUGUAACAUUACAAACAUUCAAAAAUGAAAUAGAAGUUAAACCAAAUUCUGGUGAUUCAAGUCAUUGUUUAGUUUUCCAUUUAGUCAAAAGAUGCAAAUUACAUUUUAUUUCUCACAAUUAUUUGUCUGUUUUGCCUUUUCAACUCAUACAUUGUGAUGUUUAAGGUCUCCUUCACACAUUUACCAUUGAAGGUUAUAGAUAUUUUUUUUACUAUUGUUAAUGAUUGUACUCAUUUUAUUUGGGUGUAUCUUUUGCGUGCUGAGCCUGAUGUUACUGAAGUUAUUCCUAUUUUUUUUUCUCAUUGAUUCAAACUCAAUUUGGAACACAAAUAAAAUUUGUUCACUCAGAUAAUCCUCCUGAAUUGGCAUUUUUUGACUUCUUUCAUGCAAAAUGAGUCAUCUCAUUUCAUUCUUGUGUUGAUUAGCCUCAACAAAAUUCAAUAGCAGAAAGAAAGCAUCAACAUAUCUUAAAUGUUGUAUGGUCUUUAUGUUUCCAAUCACAUAUUCCAUUGGUUUAUUGGGGGGAUUGCAUUCUUAUUAUUGUACACUUAAGAAAUAAAACUGCAUUCCCACUUUUGUCCAAUAAAACAACCUUUGAACUUCUUUGGAAAAAGAAGCUUGCAUAUUCACAUCUUUGUAAUUUUGGUUGCCUAUGUUAUGCAUCUACUUUAGAUCGUCAUAGGACAAAUUUCUCACCUCAUGUCAUUCCUUUUGUCUUUCUUAGGUACCCAUCUGGUUAUAAAGAAUACAAAUUAUUGAAUCUAGUCACUAAUUCUGUGUUUAUCUCCCAUAAUGUGGUAUUUCAUGAGUCUAUAUUUUCUUUCAAAACUAUUCAAACUUAUUCUCCUCUUCCAAAUAUUUUCUCUGAUACUGUUUUACUAUUUCCUUCUUUUUCUUCCAUUCUUGAAUCUACAUCUUUGCCAAUAUCAACAAUUCCUACUGUUUUCAUACCUUCUACGUCUCAUUGUCAUCCUAAUCGUGUUCGUAGGCCUCCUUUUUAUCUAGCAUAUUACUACUGCUAUUCUUGUUCCCACAGCACAUCUUCUACCUCACAUCCUCUCACACAUGUCCUUGAUUACACAAAAUUGUCAAAUUCAUAAAAAUAAAAAAAUGAAUAAAAGUUUGUGUUAUUUCCUAUAAUUUUGAACCCACCACAUACUUCAAGGCUGCUACUAUUCUAGAUUGGCAAGAUGCAAUGUCUGCUGAGUUAGGAGCUCUUGAACAAAAUGACACUUGGUCUUUAACUACUUUGCCACAAGGAAAACAUGCUAUUAGGUGCAAAUGGGUGUACAAAAAUAAGUAUAGAGUUGAUGGAACUAUUGAACAAUACAAAGCUCACCUUGUAGCUAAAGGCUGCACACAACAAGAGGGCAUAGACUAUCUAGGUACCUUCUCUCAUGUUUUCAAAUUGGUUACUGUUAAGGUUUUGCUUGCUUUGGCUACCAUUAAUGGUUGGAGCCUUCCUUAGAUGGAUGUCAAUAAUGUGUUCUUACAUGGUGAUCUUUUUAAGGAAGUUUAUAUGACUCUCCUAGUUAUCACCUGAAGGAAAAUCAUUAUCCUCACACUCUGUUUACAAAAUUCAAAAGUCUUUAUAUGGCUUGAAACAAGCAUACGACAAUGGUUUUCCAAACUCUCCAAUUUCUUACUUGUUGAAGGUUUUUAAACAUUCUAAUGCAAAUCACUCUCUUUUUGUCAAAGUUGUCAGUACUCACUUCAUUGCUCUGUUAGUUUAUAUGGAUGACAUUGUCAUUGUUAGUAAUAGUGAUGAGCGAGUUGAGAAAUUAAAAGUUCUAUUUAGGAAAGCUUAAAUACUUCUAAGGCCUUGAGGUGGUGAGGUCUAAUAAGGAAAUUUCCCUUAGUUAGCACCAUUAUGCCUUACAAUUACUAUCAGAUAUAGGCUAUGUUGGUUGUAAAUCAAGGAAAACACUUAUAAAUCCAAAUGUGAAGCUCACACAAGACAAAGGUGAUCUAUUAAAAGAUCUUUUAUUUUACAGAAGAAUGAUAGGCAAAUUGCUUUAUCUAACCGUAGCAAAUCCAGAUUUAUCAUUUUCAGUACAUAAAUUCAAUCAAUUUCUUGCAAAGCCCAGAGUUCUUCAUAUGUGGGCAAUACAACAUGUGCUUCAGUACUUGAAAGCAUGGUUUGAAAUAUUGGUAAACACGGAUAUAUCGAUACUUGGAUUUUAUGAAUAUGUUGGAAAUAUUGGUAAAAUAUCGGUAAAUAUUGGUAAAAUAUCGGUGGAUAUUUUGGCAAAAAUAUUGGUGAAACAAAAAUUAUUCAAAAUUCAUGGAAAUGUUUGGAAAACUCUAAAAAAAAUGAUAAAAUAAGCAAGAAUACAUAUGUUAAAGUUAUUGUAAGUGGAAUUGACAUAAAUAUGGUCAAUGAGAAAAAUAUGGAGGGAUAUAUCAAACUUAAUAAUUUAUUAUUUAUCUUAUCAAAUUAAUUUUAAUUUAUAAAAUAUUAGAACUUCAUUAUUUUUUUUAUUUUAGUAAUGUUUUGAAUACAUUUAUAUUUUUAAUAUUUGUAAAAUAAAAACAUUCAAAAUUAAAUAAAAUUAAAAGGAUAAACAUAAAAAAAGUGAACUGAUAGCAAUUUUUAAAAAUAAGAUUAAUGAGAUAAAUGAUGAUACAUUUAAUAUUAAAACUAUAAUUUAUUUAAUUCAAAUACAUUCAACAAUGUAAAAUAAAUUAUGAUGCAUAUAUAAUUUUUUUGAUAUUUAUAUUUUUUUUAUAUAAUUGUCAUAUAAAUGAUAUAAAAAAUAAAAUAAAAUAAAAGACUUGUUAAGAAAAUUAUAAUGAUGGUUUUAUACUUUUAUUAAAUAAUUAAAUAAAAUUUUAAAUAAAAUAAUUAGAAUUAAUUUAUUUAUUCUUUUAAUGAUGAAUUUUACCAUAUUUAUUGUGAACAUAUAUUUACAAAUGUGGACUUGGCCCAAUAGUAGUCAGGCUUCACCCAAGCCUUUUGGCCUAGGUUUGAAUCCCCUUGGAUGCAAUAGAAAAAAAUUUGAAGGAAUUUACCCGAAUAUCGACAUCUUUUCGAUGAAGUUGAUUGACUUUCGGUGUACAAUAUCAUGUCGACUCUCCCUGAUAUUUUGACGAUCAACUUUUAGUGUGGAAUAUUGUGUUAGCUCUCCCUGAUAAGCAAAAUAUCGACAAUAUUUCAUCAAAAUUUUGCAACAUUUUAGUGUGGAAUAUCAUGUCGACUCUCCCCAAUAUUUCAACAAUCGACUUUCAGUGUGGAAUAUCGUGUUAGCUCUCCCUGAUAAGCAAAAUAUCGACAAUAUUUCGCCAAAAUUUUGCAACAUUUCAAACCAUGCUUGAAAGUUAUGCAGGACAAGGUUUUUUUUUUUUUUUUUUCAUUAAUAGAGUUGAAAAGGUUUGUUGAUUCAAAUUGGGCAACUUGUGUGGUCUGUUAAUGAGUUUUGCUUUUUUUUAUUUAUUUAUUGUUGAUUCCUUAAUUUCCCAGAAAUAAAAAAGGCAGCAUACAGUUUCAAGAUCUUUUGUUGAAGUUGAGGACAAAUUUAUGGCAAAUGCAACAUGUGAAUUGAUGUGGUUACUUUCUUUAUUUAGAGAUUUGCAUGUAUCUCGUCCUAAGCCUGCCUUGCUAUUUUGCAACAAUCAAGCAACUCUUUAUAUUGUAGCUAAUCCAAUUUUUCACAAGCACACUAAGCACAUUAAGAUCGAUUAUCACUUGGUUAGAAAGAAACUGCAAAAUGGAAGCUUGAAGACACUACAUAUUUCAUCUAAACAUCAAGUGAGAGACUUGUUGACCAAACCUUUUUCUUCACCUCAAUUUCUUUUUCUUCUUAGUAAAAUCGAAAUUCACAAUAUUCAUUCUCCAUUUUGAGGGGGAGUAUUAGAAUAUUUGGGUAUCUUGCAGUAUGGUUACAAGUUAAGUAAAGAAUUGUUAGUUUGUUAAAUAAUUGUUAGCUUUUUUUUUUUUUUUUUUUUUGCAACUAGAUGUGUCUAUUCAAUAACUUCAUAUGGUUAUAGUUAAUUAAAGAAUCCUUUACGUAUUAACUGUUAAAAUAAUUUGUUUCCAACUUUCCUAUUAAAUUUUCUUCUGCUCAAGAUUUCAAAAAUUAUAGUUCAAGAAAGCUCUUUCGAUUUCUAUGUUGCACUGUAUCUUCUUAUAUGUUAGUACAAAUCAUACUCCUCUUUUUACCUCUUCAAUGAAUCCUUUUAGGAGUAAGACCACCAAGUGAGCACCCUUAUAUUGAUCCACAAGCUUUUUAUUACAUAUUUUUUGUUUGUGCACACCACCUCAAAUUUAAGUGGCCCAUAAAUUUUAUACUUUGGAUACCUUACCAUCCAAUCAUAAGCAUAAACUAAAUUUGAAAGGAUAAGAUUAGUUUAUUUUAGAGAAAUUGAGCUCCAAGUCCCCUAGCCAAACAUGAAGUUUUGAAGCAUGAAAUUUUUGUGAUGGGACAUAAUUGCAAUCCUUAUUAAAUUGAUCAAUUGUGUUAUGCCAAGAAUGCAAAUUAUGCAUGGCAAAGUGGUUAGAAAGUGUACAAAUGCACCAUCUUUUUACUUGUUUGUUUACUCAAAUUUCUCGGUCAAUUUUUUUUUUUCAUUCUUAUCCCUCUUGAUUGAGGCAAACAUGUUUUGGCUAGUGCUCUCAAAUUCCUUAAAUAUAUUCUUUUCAAUAUUGUAAACAUUUGGCUUGGUCAUUGUUAUAGUUAUCAAUUGUGUCAACUUUUACUUUCUCUCAUCCCCAAUUACAUAUGCACUUUGUAGCUUUAAUUUUUUUUUAGUGAUUAAUCUUAGUUUUUAUCUAAUUGUUUGCCUUAUAGUCUUUGACAUAACUAUAAGUGUAACAUGUACCUCUCACAAACCAAAAGACAUCACUUGUCUUCUUUAAUUUAAACAUUUUUGCAUCUGUGUAAGAUCUGAAACUAGAAUUUCACAACAUCGCGUAGUCAUUUUCUCUAGUUGUUUCUCAAAGCUCUCUUCAAGAUUUAGUUCAUGUUCAAUUACCAACUUUGAGUUUUCACUUUUUUUUUUUCCCAUGAGUCAUGAGGAAAUGAAUUUCAACUGUGUUUCAUCUAUCCAUCUCUCUUAAAUUGUUUUAUUCGAUAGUUACCAAUUGUAGAAUUGUUUUUAUAUAUUCUUUUCAUAGAUAUUGUUAAUAAAUUAUGCUAAAUGAGUAGCUUCCUGAUGUGGUGAGAGCUAAUUUUGUUAUUGCUAGGAUAAUAUCUUUUUAACUUUCUUAACUUUUUCCGAAUUAUAAACCACUCAUGCUUUGACCAAUCUCCAUGUGUUUUUCAUUUGUUUGGAUUUAUGGGCUUUUGAUUCUAUUUGGUGAAUAGAUAAUAAGGAAUUAAGGAUCUGAGAUUGACAUUACUUUAAGGAUGUUUGAAGAUGACAUAGUGAAGCAUAGAAUAUUUUUUUGGGUUGUAUCUCCUCAUUUCCCAUACUUAUGGUGGACAUUGAUGAGUUGGAUUAUUUGAAUGAAAUGAGCUUUGGAAAAAUACUAGUAAUUACAUGAAUUGUUGCAAUAUAUUUGAGUGAAAAUAUUAUGUUAGUGUCUCUCCAUGUCACUAAUUCAAACCUGUUACUUUCCAUUGUAAGUGGUAGAAAUAUAUUUUUUAUUUUCUAGAAAACAUUACUCUAACUUGUGAAAAAGGUUCUUAUGCCUCCAUAUUAAAUGUUAUAUGAUGGAAAAAAAACUUGAAUCUCUCUGUUUCCUCAGUCUGGAUCAGGUUAGGAAUAUGCAUAACUAUCCUAGGCUUUUUCUAAAUUCUAUGCACAACAAAAAAAUUAAUUUUUUUUAUACUUUAUAAGGAUCUAGAAAGUGCUAACGAAAACUAUACCUCAAAUUCGGAUGCUCCCGAGUCUUCCGCUCGAUGACUCAAACCUUGAUCUUGGCACACUUCUAAUGGGGAGGAAAUGAGGGUGGAGGCUAUAGUUUUCUCUCUCUCUGGAUGGUGGACGAUAAAAGCUAUGGAACCCCUAACCUCUAGGGGGUAUUUAUAGGGUUCCUAAGUGGGCUUAAGUGACUUGAGCCCAUACAGGCUUGGGUCACUUAAUCUAACCCAAAAUGAGUUCUAACUGAUUAAUUAACCCAAUAAGGCUUACUAAUUAAUCAAUUAGCCCAAUCAAGAGACCUUGUUCACUUACCCCUAUACAACCUUGCGUAAUUAUCAAAAUGCCCUUAUGCACAGAAGUGAACUUAGAGUCAAUUCAACCCUCAUAACCCAUGCCAACAAGGUAUAUGAGUUCAAAGUGGGGACCAUUGGGACCCAUAGAAAUACUGACUCCCUCAAAAUCAAAUUCUAAAGUUGAUUCAAUAUCACACUAUAGAGAAUCAACUAAACUCCAAUAUCUUAUGUAAAUAACAACGAGACACUAAGUGAUCGGGUCUGUGACUUGCUAUCCAUUGUGUUCAGUCUCCCCAUGAACUAAUGUCCGUAGUUUAAUAAGGUGAAAGCUAUUAGUCUUUCAAGACUACCUCUACCUUCUAUUUUGUGUUCAAUUGACAUAUCUUAGCUCUCAAAGAGCCUAUGUCAAGUUCCAUUUAAUGAACUACAUGACCAUAGUUUCCAUGAACACACCUCCUUAAGAUCACCCAAGGGGACACACUAUCUCAAUCCUAAGAGAUAUCAUAGUGCCUCUAUUGAAAAUACCUAUUACUACCAGCUUCUAUCAACAAUGACCCAAUCCAUACGGAAUAUAUGAUCAGCUUACGAUUUCACCUGUAGGUCAAAGUCAUUGCCAACUUUAGCACAAGCUUAAUAUUCUCUCAAGGUUGAGAGACAACACAAUGAAACAGCUUGGUGAGGUCAUGACUCAAUAAUAGCCUUAAGUCAUGACUCACCAUAAGUCUUGUCCAAUGUGUAACCAUACAUACUAGUGCACUCACCAUGGGAAACCCAUCCUGAUAACCAAGACCAGUGAUCCCUCCAAUUAGGAGGUGGUGCACUACAACCUUUAAUGGGUUGCCUAGACCCAUGAACCAAUUGUAAACAAGUCAUCUAUUUGCAAGGAACCCAUGACUUAGAUCUUCUGUGCAACUCCUAAUGCACCUAAGUCACGUACAAUACAAAAAAUGCAGACAAGAAUGCUCAUAAAGUAUAAUAUAUGGAAUAAGAAUAGAUAAAAGUGAAACUGGAACAUCAUUAAAUAAAUAAUGAAUUCCAAAUUUAUUACAUCAUGUCAUGAUUUUAAGUGCUUUAUCCUAACAUUAUAUAUUUGAGAUAAACAUGAUAUAAUGAGAUUUAUGUUUCUUUGUUAUAAUAUUUCAAUAAGUAAUUGUGUUUUAAUUUUAAUAAACUAUGCAUGCAUGAAACAAUUCAAGUAUCAUUAGCAUCAUUGGUAUCAUUGUGAGACAAAAGUUUCUCUUAUUACAUACUAAAGAGAUUUAAGUUAUCAAAAAGUGAAAACGGUUUUAUCUAGGCUAGUUUCAAGUUGACAACUUUUAAAUUGUUUAUCAUGUGAUAAAGAACUUUUCCCUACAAAUGAUACUUGAAUUGUAUAAUUAGACAGUGUAGGAAAACAUAAUAUCUAUGAAGUUAACUGUUUAUUCUUAAUUCAAUUUUUAGAAAUUUUGGUAGUCUUUCCUCUUAUUCUCUGGGUGCAUAUUUGGAUAAAGUUGCAUAGUAUGCCUUGUCCAUUUUACAUACUUAGAGAACUAUAAGGAAAUUCUACUAAAACUUCUUUAAAAUGAAAUUGACCACAUUGGUCAUUGACACAUAGAGAUUAUGUAUUUCUAUAUGGGAUAGGAACUACUACCGAAUUUAGGAUGUUGGAGAUGUUAGAAUGCAUAAAACAUGCAUCAAAAUUUGACAUACUCAAAUGAUUUUCUUUAUUUAGUAAAUUAGUAUAGAUAAUGUUUGAUGCAAAGGUCAUGGACAAACCCAAUAUAAUAAUAUUAAUAUGCACUAGUUUUAUUGAGGUUAUACAUCCCUUUUAAUGCAAGUAUUCAUGGUCAACAACAUUUAUAACUUAUUAGUCACUACUACAAAUAAGAUAUACCAUGACCUUGUUUUUUCCUUGGCACUUUUAAAAAUGUUAAUAAUUAGCGUGAUAUUUCAAAAGUGUAGAUCUAUGUUCAUAGAUCAAAAUGGUUAGAACAAUGCUUACUUUUUUUCUUUUAAAUUUGGCAUCUUAAAGAAAUGUUGAACUACACUUUCUUGAUUAUUAUUUGAACAAAAAAAAAAGGUUGUUAAACGAAUAGCAUAGAAAAUGUUGCUAUUUUCUUCAAUUUGAAGUUUGAUCACUAUUGAAAGUUUGUUCUUAAAAAAUGGAUCAUUUGUGGAUUUCAAAGGAUAGAGGACUAAAGGAGUAUGGGGAUGGGGUAGAACAUUUUUAUCACAUUUGCAAUAUAAAAUUCUGCAUAUAAAAACUCCAUUAAAUGUCCAUGCUUGUAGAGUGGUAAUAUGAUAUUUCAUACUCCUCAAAGAUUUCCUCAAAGAUUUCCUCAAAAUAUUAGAGAGCAUAUGUUUUUCUAUAGAAUUAAUCAGAAUUACCAUAUAUGUUAUUGGCAUGGGGAAGCAACUCCAAGUGAACCACCAACUAGAAGGGUAGAACAUUAUAAUAUGGUUCAAUUUAAUGAUGUAGAUAGUACAAUAGAAAUGGUUGAAGUUGUACAAGUUGAAUGUCAAAAUGACCUAAAAUUGCUUGAAAGAUUACUUCAAAUUGUUGAAAAACCUUUUAUAUCCUAGUUGUAGAAAAUUCACACAAUUGUUUGCAUUGGUUAAAUUAUACAACUUGAAAACACACUAUGAGUGGUCUGAUAAAAGCUUUUCAGAGCUUUUAAAAAUGCUUAGAUAUAUGUUGCCUCUAAAUAAUGAGUUACCCUUGUCUAUGUAUGAGACAAAAAUGGCAUUGAAUACAUUAGGAAUGGAAUAAGAAAAAAUACACGCAUGCCCCAUGAUUGUAUACUUUACAGGAAUAAGUUGAAAGAUGCAUUUCAUGUCCUAUCUAUGGAACUUCAAGGUGAAAGGUAGAUAAUAUAGGAACUAAAAAAAUGACAGGAACUCCUGGGAAAGUAAUGUGGUAUUUUCCUCCAAUUCCAAGAUUUAGAAGAAGGUUUCAAUCAUAAAAAAUCGUAAAAGACCUCAUAUGGCAUACCUAAGGAAGAGAUUUAGAUGACAAAAUGUGUUAUCCAGCUGACUCUCUAUCAUAGCUAAUUGAUCAUAAAUGGCCCAACUUUGUUUCAAAACCUAGAAACUUGAGACUUCCCAUUUUAGCAGAUGGUAUAAAAUCCUCACAAUUCAUUGAUUAGCAAAUAUAGUUGUUUGUCCUAAAGAGCUCGAAGCAGCAACUAUGGACAAUGUUUUUUUUAUCAUAAAGAGUAAGUUAUGGGCAACACUAUGGCUGUAAAUAGAGGUAAAACCUUUAACUUGUUUUUAGUUUGAUUUUUCUUUUCUUUCAUAAUGGAAAUAGAAAAUCAUCUAAACAAAUAGGACCUUAAUAAUUUUUUUUUUCUACAAUUUAUUUUUGAAUAAAAUAAUUUAAAAGAUUCCAUUCUUAUAUUUGUUAGACUUUUUUUUAAUGAAGAAAAAAAUAGUCUCCCUUUUAGCAUAUAUAUUAUAUAUGAUUAACAAUGGGUAUAAUAAAAUUUAUUUAAUAAAUAAUUGAUGUGACAUUCUAAAUUGAAAGUCAUAAAUUAGCUCAUUAGUUUGAUGUUGGCCCUAAAACUACAAGACUUGAUUACAUACUUAGAUUUUAUUCUUGAAAUUUAAGAGAUAAUUGAUGUGACAUCUUGAAUUGAAAGUCAUAAAUUAGCUUAUUAGUUUUAUGUUGGCACUAAAACUACAAAACCCAAUUACAUAAAUUUUGUUCUUGAGAAAUGUCAUUAUGGUUCAUAGUAAGGCUUAGUUUGGUGUGUUAGACCAUGCAUGCAUGAUAUCUCUUCACAUUCUCUUGUUUUUUGACAAACAUGCUACCAUACUUAAGGUGUUUGUCAAGGCUCAUCUUGGACUACUCAAAACUUUGGGGUCCUUUCUUUGAGUUCACAAGCUUCUUUCCCCUAGUGUCAACCCCAACUCCCAAAAUCCACUCCUUAGUAGUGCACUGACGAAAUCUACAAAUGCACUAUAAAGUGAGAAUGGCAUCAUGAAAAUGUAUUAAUGCAUCGUAGAUGUGGGAACUUAAAAAUAUAUAUAUAUAUAUAUAUAUAUAUCUAGAGUUUAGACUUGUUUCUAUUAAUUAGAAAUUACUAAGCAAUGAAUCUUGCUAGUGUGGAAAGUACCAAUAGAUUGACCAAGGAAGGUAUAUGUAAAAAAGAUUGACAUUGUCAAUUGGAAAAAUUCCUUUACAAACGUCAACCCUAUCUUCCUAACCAUCAUGGAUGUUGAGAAGUAGAUAUCGAUGACUAUGAUGAGGAUCACAAAGGAUUAUCAUACCAAGGAGUUAGACAUUUGUUGGGUUAUCAACAAUUUUAAUGAGGGUGGUAUUAACUAUUUGGUUGUUGAUAGUGUAUUGCGUAGUUCCACCAAGCCAAUCUGCUCCUGCAUUGAGAUCAAUCUCGAUGAAAAGGUAGCAUAUAUUUUUCAUUUCCUAAUUCUAUCAAUUGCUUCAUGGUGCCUUUGUCUAAUAAGCUUAACAGGUUCUUCUACAUUUUCACCAUUUAAUUCUCUAACGUUCAUCAUGAUAGGGUUGAAAUUUCAUCAUCAAAUCAAAACAUAUCCUCCUAUAAGAGGCCUUUGAAUUCUGAAAUAAUCAAUUCACUUUAUUCUCAUAUUGGCAAAGACAAGCUUACACUAUUGGAAAGACUACCCCUAACCUUUGCCCUCCCAAAUAGCAAAGAUGAGAGAGAACCUUUCACAAAAUCACAAGAAUUAUUCAAGUUUGGAAUUCAUAGGCAUUGUUAUUGAAUUUCAUUUGUAUAAAAUUGGUGUGUUGUGUUUAUUUUGUUGGUAUUAAAAUUGAAUUUUUUUUAAUUGCAAAUUGAUGAUUUUUUUUCUCUCUCACAUUUAUACCCAUUAGAGUUUCUUAUUAGGGUUUGUGUUUGAAAUUUGGAGAAAGUAUGGUGCAAUUGUUCAUCGGUGUGGUGUACCAUUUUGUUUGUUGUAUCUAAUAUUUGGGUAUUUGAUUUAAUUUUAUUGUUGUUGAAAUUGAAAGUUGAAAUCCAAGUUAAUUGUUUAACUAGCUAUUUGUAGUUGACUUGUUUUGCACCAAUCUUGAUUACCCAUUUCAUGGGAAUAAUCGAUUCCAAUUUUCCUUCAUGGUUACUAAAAAUAUAUUGUAGGUGAAGGACUAUUAUGGAGUAUAUUAAUUCACAAGAAAAAUGUUCCUUUAGUUAGUAAAAACUUCAUUCAUGUGGUCAUUUAUGAGCAUCAUAAUAAUCCAUAUUAAAAAUAUUUAAAAACAUUAAUGCACUAAAACAUUGAUUUCAUCAACAAAAAUACACUCAUUCUUUUGACUUAUAGCAUUCAAAGAUGUUUAAAAAUAUAUAUGUACAAUAAAACAUCAUCGAAUUUAUUAACAAUUAAACUUUUAACCCCAAAACAAUCCGUUACUUUAGUAGAUAAGACACUAUUGGAAUAACAUUAUUUUUAGCUCAAGUUAGAAGUUAAAAUGAUAAGGUUAAAAGAACAAAACCAACAAAAAAAAAAAGUUAUUUUUUGUCAAACUUGACACUAGUACAAUUUAAAUAAUGUAGCUCAAUGCCCUAUUGAAUUGAGUCAUAUAACUAGACUCCCUAAUUAUAUAUUAUGAUACACACACAACCUUUGGUCUAGUAUACAUGAUUAAAUUAAAUGCCAACCUAGUUUGCAAAGCUAAACUGGAAUCCCAAAUCUAGUUCAUUAUAAAUACUCUUCAACCAACUUGCUACAACAUUCAAAUAAGACAAUGACAAUGAUAGAAAACCAAAAAAAUACCUAAUAUAUCAUUGAAAACUCCUUCCUAAAGGAGGUAAAAAAAAUCAUGAAGUAACUUUCUUCUAUUAAUAAAAAUGGGAAUACAAUGAUCUAUAUAGUGUUUUAACUCGAAACUGAUGGUAUUACAAAUAUUAAAGAAGAAAUUUAAAACACACACACACACACACACAACAAGCAUGUUGUCAAGCUUAUAAGAGUUGGAGAAAUUUCUCCAUAUAAAUCUUCAAAACAUGAUGGAGAGUAACCUUGACAUUUAAGUCAAUAAUAUACAAGGAAAGACAACCCAAAAAGAUACAACUUUGAGAACAAACUCUCCUUUUUGCUUUUUUACAUAACCUUUUUUUUUUUUUUUUCCUUUUUGAAAACUUCUCUCCUUUCCUCUAAUUGUUACACCAUACAACAAUCCUAAAAAAACAGAGUUUAAAGGCUUGUUUGAUAACUGUUUUUAAAAAUAAUUUUGAAAAAUAGUUUUUGAAAAUUAUUCUCUAAUGUUUAAUUUGUAGAACAAAAGUUUGUUUGGAAACCCAAAAUAUUUUUAACAUGUUUUUAAUGUUGUUAAAUAUGUUUUAAAAAUAAUUUUUAUGUUUAGUAUUUUAUUUUUAAUCAUUUUAUAUGUUUAUAUAAUUAUUUUUUAAGGCAAACCUUAAAAAAUAAGUGAAAAUAACAUAAAACACUUAAAAGAUAUUAUCUGAAAACACCUUAUUUUAUUGUAACAGAAAAUAAAAAGCGGUUUUUGGUUGUCAAACAUGUUUUCUUAAUUUUUUAUUUUGAAGAAUAGAAAUUUGUUCUUGAAAAUAUCUAGUUAUCACAUUAGUUAUUGCCCAUUUUAUGAUUUUAAUUAUUGCUUAAAAACUAGUUUUUCAGCUAAAAAAGAAGGUCCACUACUUAUGGGUCAAACCUUCAACUUUCAAACCCGAACACAAAGUUAUAGUCAAGACUAAUAUUCACAUAUUAGUAUUAAUAUAGUUCAUUAAAUAUGAAUUUCUAUUGAAGCCAAAAUCGAGUUUUUAGGGGAAGUAACAUUCACUUUCAAUUAAGCAAUUUUUAACUCAUAAGUUAGUACUUGUAACAAAAUUUCUUAAUAGAGACUUUAAUUGAGUUUUAAGAAGAAUUUUUUGUUUGUUAAAAACCAAUUCAAACAAAAUCUAAAACUAAUAUUAUUAUCUAAAAGACAUAAUGAACAACAUAAACCAUAAACCAAAGUGGUAGUGACAACCAAUAUGUAGCGUCAAUGAAUAAUUGAAAAUAACCUCAUUUUCUAAUGACCUCGAACCUAGAAGCUCUAAAAUUCUUGCCUAAUUCCUUGUGAUGACUUUGGUUCAACCUUAAUGGCGAGGGCAAAAUUCUAAAUAAUUUUUGUCACAACUCAUAAAUUUAGAAGAAAAAAAUGAGAAUAAAUGGAAUCCCUAAUGAGAAAUUGUUAUUUUUCCCCUUUAUGACAAAAAUAGUAACCUACUAGUAUUAUUAAAUAACAUGGAAAUUAUUAUUUCAACUUUAAUACCAUGUAUGACAUAACUUUAACAACCUUAAUUUAUAAGAUUAUUUAAUUUAAAAGGAUAAAACAAUUACAUAUUCAUAAGAAUCGCUUCUAUUUUUUAAAAACAAUAAAUUCCAUUUUUUGGACAAAAAUACCCUCCAUUGUUUUUAUCAACAUUUCACAAUCAAACACUUAUUGGAAAAAAAAAAGUAUAAGGGUAGCUAUAUUAAAAUGAGGUUAUAAUUAUAAUACUCAAUAAGUGGAGAUUUUUUUUCCAAAUAUUGGGAUCAUCUUCUCCAUUUGACACAAAUAUUUAUAAUUUAUAUUAUAAUUACUCUUAUAGUAAGAGAGAAAGAGUAAUUUCACAUGAAAUGGACCCAUAAACAUAGAUUUAUUAUGAGGCAUGAUACUAUAAUAAUAAUAGGAAAUAAGACGAGACGUGAUACCAUAAUAAUAGAAAAUAAGAUAAGUAAUUCAAUACUUAAUGAAGGUCUGAAAUAAUUAUGUUUCUCAUUAAAUGAUAUUAAAGACGAAAAAAAACUUAUUAAUUUUUAUUUUAAGUAUUAAGAUUAUUUAAUAAAAUUAACUUAAAAUUUAUUUUAAAUUAUCAAAUUGAUAUAUUUAUUUUCAUAGAUUAUAACUAAGGUAAAUGAAAUCAAGUAAUAAUGGAUGUCAUGUAGUGAAAGAGAUCCUAGAGGCAACGGGACAAAUUGUGGUAAAAAAUGUCAAAUAAAAAUACGAACUUAAGAACAAAUUAAUUGUUUGUACUUAUUACUUAAAGUUGUUAUUUAUUUUAUAUUAUUAAAUUAUUUUACUAAAUAUGCUUAAUUUAUUUAAUGACUUAAAUUAAUUUAUUAGUCACUUUAGGCUAUUAAAUCGGGUUUACCAAUCAUAUCGAAUACAUUUGGCUAGUAGGCCAAGACUCAAGAAUAUUGCUAUCAUAUGUUUUAUGUAUUAAGGUGCCAAGAAUAAUUCACCACAAAAUAUAUGAUGAGUUGAUAAGUAUAGGAUACAAUCUAAAAUAUGCACUUGAUUUCAUCAUCUAAAUAAAUGCUCUCGGCAAAUGGAUCAUCCUAGCUGAUACCAGAGCACAAGCCGCCAUGGACAGGAGGCAACGGAGAAACCCUUCUGCUUCUUCUUCUGCCUUUUCAUCUCCAGCUUCAUCCUCAUCGCGUUUCCGCUCAGAGAAAUUCUCCUCGAAUCCCCCAAAAACUAGUAACUCCCUGGAGGAUGCUCACCAAUUGAAAAGCAAAUGUGGGAAGCCACAAAGACCAAAGCAAGAGGAGGAAGGAGAGCAAGAUCCGAACAAUCUUCUCUCCUUAGUUGGAACUUGCCCAUUCAUGUGCCCUGGUAAAAAUGCGUGCUUAUUUUUCCAUUUUUUUAAAAUUCUAUUUUCCUGUUAUUCUGUGUUUGGUUUCCGAGAAAUUGGAGGAAAACAGUAGAAAAGAGAAGUGAAUCUGGAGUUUCUGUGUCAUUUUUGUGGCUUUUACAUAAAUUUUACAAAUAAAAUUGAUAUUUCUCCCCCUUUAUUAGAUACCAAUCUGCAGAAGAUGUAGGAAUCCCAAAAAAAAAUUCGCUUUUGCCUUUACUUCCCCCAAAUCUUUCAUAAUGGAAAAUGGACUUACCACCUCUUUUAUCACUUUUCCUUUACCAUGUCAGGUUUACAUGUAAUCAAACACUGUAUUUGGAGUAGGGCACUUAUUCUAAUGUCAAAUGGUGUUGAAAACUUGAAUUACUGGAUCUUAAGACUCCAGAAGAAAUUUGAUUGUUUAUGAUUAUUGCUCCAUGAGAAGGGAAAGGGAUUUCUUUUGUUUUUGCUCACAUAUAUGGCCAAAUUGAUUUAUCUCCUUCUCAUACGAACAAAAUAAGGACAUUUCUUGUCUUGCUGCCUUUUAUGCCACCGGUUCCACAUGCUGAUGUGACAACCCUUUUGCUAUUCUGUACAAAUGGUAGGAAAAUUCUGGUAAGACUGGUGGCCAGCCUAUCAUGUUCAGGGAAUAAAUUCAUUGUAUAUCUGGAAUUCACUCUAUAUCAGCAUAGGGUGUUGAUACUGAUUAUAAAUGACAAAUUCAAUUUAUUAUCCUUACAUUAGGGAGUGCUAAAAGGAUGCAAAUUGUUCAUGUUAUACCCAAAGACAUACAAGUGAUGCUAGAGAUUUUCACAAUGUGGAUAAUCAUAGAGUAGAGAUGAACACUAUGGAGUCUUUUGGCAUGUGUUCAUUCCAUGUACGGGAACAUGCAUUGGAAGAUUAUGUUUCCUCCUCCCUUCCCCUCCCCAAAGUUAAUACUAUGUUGUCAUGGCAAGAACUUUGGUGACAUGCUUCUGAGUGGAAUAGCCUCCUAGAAGUCCAUUUAUGUGGCAGUUGGCAAGUUCUUCCGGUCAAUGAGAACUUUGUGACUGUCUGAUUGUUGUACUAAUCAUCAUCAGAUUUUUUUUUAAGUUCAAGUUGUAAAUAGCCUUUCACAGUUGAAGGUAGCGAUGAAGAGGCCUGUUGACAUAAUUAUUUCUUCUGCUUGAAUGGAUUAAAAUCAGAUACCACACCUUCAGCCUAGAAAACUAUGGACUUUCCUAUGUACCUGCAAUUGGCUGAAUACUGGUGUGGCACUGACUAAAGGCUCUCUGAUGCUGUUAUUAAUUUCCUGAGCAAAUUAGAGAAAACAGAGAGGUCAUAAUGUGAAUCAGUUACCUCUUGAGUAGGGAUGAAGGCUUUUUAUAACUUUUUACUUUCUGGUUAGGCCUUGGAAGCACUUCUGUGAACCAUGAUUUUGUACUGUAAAAUUAGAUGGGAUGGAUAGGUCACCUUAACUCUACUUUUGGAAGUGAUUGGGGAGCGCAUGACUGUAUGAAUAUUGAUGUGUUCUCCCCAUACAGAGCCCAACUUCUUUUUGAACUAGGAAGCAUGAAGGGUGGGUGGAUGUGGGCUGAGGAAGGAAGAUUUGACUUGUGUGCCGCAGGCCUGCGGUACCAAUUUGUUCCAGAACUUGAUAAGGCCCAUAAACUGGUAGGCAAGUUUCAUUAUUUGGUCACCACUGAAUUUUGGCAGUAUGGCCACAAGGAAGGUAGGAAGGAGAGGGAGAAGAGAAAACCCCAAUUGCCAAUUGCAAGCUUCCGGUUGGCACAGUGCUCAUUGCUGACAUUUUCAUUUGAUUUUGACCUUGCAACAGAUACAGCUUAACAUGAUGGACCAGUUUUUCACAAUCUUGUGAUUCAUUACCCAACUUCUAGUAACAGUUUCUCAGCAGAUGACUCACCUAUGACAGGCUGAUGAUGUCUGCACACAACUUGAAAGGUAUUCAUGCCAAGGUGUGAAAGGUAAUAUUGUGACACCAUUUUGCCUAUUCCAGAAAAUGUAACAAAUGUAUGGCUGGUUCUUGACCUAAAAAUGCUGGCAUUGGUCACCAAGUGCUAGGGUGAUUCUUGACAAAAAAUGUUCGUAUUGUUCAGAACAAUGAUUUACAACUUCAGAUUGGCCAUCCAGUUAACGAUGAUAAUCACUUGUUUUACAAAGUUCAGUGUCAUAAAAGCAAAAUAAUUUUGUCAACAAAUAUGCGGAUAACUUUAUCAUAAUUACUACUUAUGGAAGUUAAGGAUAAGUUGGGUAAUGUGAGAAAGUUUUGGUCAGAGGAUAUGAGGAUAAAUUUGUUGCAAUUGCUAAGCUUCACCUCCUAGGACUACUAGGAGAAACGUAUGAGCAAUAGAACAAAUUUACAGUCCAUCCCCAUUAGCUGCAUGGAGAGGUUGGGCUUAUUGCUGCUAUGGUGGAGGUCACCUUCUUGUAGACUUUGAAAUCUGCGAAUGAAGAGGCAGAUUUCUUAGAGGAAUUGGUAGGACUCCAAGCCCCCCAAAUGACAGGGGGGUGGGGAGGAUGGGGGUGGUGGGGGGCCAUUUCUAAUUUCAUGUCUUCUCAAUGUGGAUUUGAGGUUUAACGAGAUUUUUGGGAAAUCAUUAAGGUUAAAAGUAAUUGAAAGAGUGUGUCUGUGGAGAGCAAGAGGGGGAAAUGUUUGGUUCCCAACUGGGGUUGCUUCAUCUGACCGUUAAUCUCACAGCAAACACCGACGGAGCGUUGUUGUUGGAGGCUUCCAGGUUCUCUGAUCAAUUCUCUUGUUCUUUGUUUUCUUUGGGGAAGCGGGAAACCUCUCUUUCUUCUAUUCCUUCUGGGCGGGAUGGGGAAGGUGUUGCCAUUGCCAGGGUUUCCGAUCAGGGCAGUGGUUUAGAAGCCGUAGGGGGAGCUGUUAUGGGCCCGUUAAGGAUGAUAUUGGCGGAUGGGAGGGAGGCCGAGGUCUCAAAUUUGGCGGGUAGGGAGUUUGGGACUUUCGAGGAGGCGUCAGAGGGGGUUUCGAAAAGGGUCUCCCAAGAGGAUGAAGAAGAGAGGGACAAAGAGGGGGAACUGUGUUGGCAUUCUAGUAGCUUGGCUAAGUUCAGCCGCUAUCUUGGAAUGCCGAUGGAGGGCUUCGAAGGGGAAAUUUUGUUUUUGCUUAAAAGAAUGAAAGAGAAGAAACUUCAAAAAGGAAAGUUGAAUGGCAGAAAAAGGAAAAAAUUGGAGUCAUCAAAAUUCGAAAUAGAAUUGAGAAAGUUGGAAUGGACAGUGAAUUAUCUUGGAGGAGGAGGAGGAGAGGGGGGGGAAGUACGAGCAGGUCUAAAUGAAGCUCCGACUGCUCACUUGGAAUGUAAGAGUGACCAAUAAUUGUGAUAAGAGGAAGGUGAUCAAAGCGUUGAUAAAGAAGAAUAGGGUGGAUCUGGUUUGCCUAUAGGAAACCAAGAUUUAGGAAAUGUCAAUGGGCAUUAUCCGUAGCUAAGGAGUGGGAAGAUUCCUUGAAUGGGGAGCUGUAGAUUCAAGGGCACAGCUGGAGGUAUAGUGGUGUUUUGGGAUAACAGGGUGUUGGAUUUGGUUGACCUUCAAAAAGGAUUGUUCUCUAUUUCUUGCACUUUUAAGAGUUGCGAGGACGGUUUCAUAUGGACGUUUACAAGGGUUUAUGGCCCAACAUUGAGGAGGAAUAGGGAGAGUUUUUGGGAGGAGUUGGGGGCCAUUAAGGGGCUUUGGAAUGGGCCGUGGUGUGUUGUAGGGGAUUUUAAUGCCAUUCUAAGUCCGGAAGAGCGCAACAGAGGAGGGAGCUUGAAUUCAAACAUGAGAAGGUUCUCAGAAGUUAUAGAAGAUCCAGAGUUAAAGGAUCUGCCUAUGGUUGGGGGUCCUUUUACUUGGAUUGGAGGGGUGAAUAACCAGUCUUUUUCAAGGCUGGAUCGUUUUUUGGUUAAUGAGGGGUGGGACAGUCAUUUUGGUGAUGCGAGGCAGUUUGUUCUACCAAGACCUGUGUCCGAUCACUUUCCGGUUCUUCUGGACGGAGGGGGCCUGAGAAGAGGCCCUUCCCCAUUUAGAUUUGAGAAUAUGUGGCUGAAACUGGAAGGUGUUAAGGACCUUUUGAAGCAUUGGUGGGAGGAAGGUAGCUUCAGUGGAUCCCCAAGUUUUAUCUUGGCCGAAAAACUAAAAUUUAUGAAGGCUAAGCUGAAGAAGUGGAACAGAAACACAUUUGGUAGGGUUGAAUAUAGAAAGAAUUUGGCUUUGGAGCAGGUGGAGUUUUGGGAUACCAAGGAGAAAAUUAGCAGACUGUUGUUGGAAGAGCUGGAAGCUAGAAAAGAAGCGAGGGAAGAUUAUAAAAAAUGGGUCUUACUUGAAGAAAUCACGUGGAGGCAAAAAUCUAGGGAAGUGUGGCUGAAAGAAGGGGAUAGAAAUACCGGUUUUUUCCACAAGAUGGCCAAUGCUCACAGGAGGAGGAAUAAUGUGGACAGAAUUAAGAUUAAUGGAGCCUAGCUUACAUAGGAGAAUGGAAUUAGGGAAGGGAUUGCCAAUGCUUUUAGGUUGUUGUUGUCCAAUCCGGGGGAAUGGCGCCCUUCUAUUUUCGAGCUGCAGUUUGAGACUUUGGAGCCUUUGGACGCUAGUGCCUUGGAGAUUCAUUUUUCGGAAGAGGAGGUCUUCGAUGCACUAUUGGGCUGUAAUGGGGAUAAAGCCCCGGGGCCAGAUGGAUUCUCUAUGACCUUUUGGCAAUUUGCUUGGGAUUUCGUGAAGGCUGAUGUGAUGUGUUUCUUCAAGGAGUUCAAUGAAAAUGGCAAAUUUGUUAAAAGCCUAAAUGCAACUUUUAUGGUCCUAAUCCCAAAAAAAGCAGGGGUUGAAGCCUUAGGGGAUUUUAGGCCUAUAAGCUUGGUGGGAAGCUUGUACAAGUGGCUGGCCAAGGUCUUAGCUAAUAGGCUAAAAAAGGUGGUUGGAAAGGUGGUCUCCAAGGCUCAAGGGGCGUUUGUGGAAGGUAGACAAAUCCUAGAUGCAGUGUUGAUAGCUAAUGAAGCCAUUGAUUUGGUUCUCAAGAAUAAUGAGAAUGGCAUUCUGUGCAAACUGGAUAUAGAGAAGGCGUAUGAUAACAUGGACUGGACUUUUAUUCUCACAGUUAUGCAGAAAAUGGGUUUUGGGGAAAAAUGGAUCAGGUGGAUUAAGUGGUGUAUAUCCACUGCAGGUUUCUCCGUGUUGGUCAAUGAAACCCCUACGGGUUUCUUCCAAAGCUCCAAGGGUUUGAGACAGGGUGAUCCCCUUUCCCCUUAUCUCUUUGUGAUAGUUAUGGAGGUCUUUAGUGCUUUUCUUAAAAGGGCUGUAGAGGGAGGUUUCUUAUCGGGUUGUAGGGUGAAGGGUAGGAGUGAAGAAGGGGUCCUAAUUUCCCACUUGUUGUUUGCUGAUGAUACACUGGUGUUCUGUAAACCUUCACAAGAUCAAUUGACUUAUCUCAGUUGGUUACUUAUGUGGUUUGAGGCCGUUUCGGGAUUGAGAAUAAAUUUGAAAAAAAGUGAACUCAUUCUAGUAGGGAGGGUAGAGAAUAUGGAUGAUCUUGCUUGGGAAUUUGGUUGUAGACUGGGUAGCCUUCCAACCACCUAUUUGGGGAUGCCCUUGGGUGCUCUUUUUAAGUCAGUUACAGUUUGGGAUGGUGUGGAAGAGCGCUUCUGAAGAAGGUUAGCCAUGUGGAAGAGACAAUAUUUAUCCAAGGGAGGAGGGCGACUCUUAUUCGAAGCAUGUUAUCGAAUUUACCCAUCUAUCUCAUGUCAUUGUUGUGCUUACCAAGCUCAAUUAGACGGAGAUUAGAGAAAAUCCAAAGGGACUUCCUUUGGGGUGCAAUUUGGAGCGAAAGCCUCAUUUAGUAAGAUGGGAGUUGGUGUGUUUAAGUAAGAAGAAAGGAGGUUUGGGGGUCAAAUGCCUUUCCAUUCUCAACAAGGCUCUUCUUGCUAAAUGGAAUUGGCGUUUUGCAAAUGAGAGAGAAGCUUUGUGGAAUCAAGUGAUUAGGGGGAAGUAUGGAGAAGAUAGAGGGGGUUGGUGCUCUCGGGAAGUGAGAGAGGCUCAUGGUAUGGGGUUGUGGAAAGGAAUAAGGAUGGAUUGAGAGUUGGUGAGCGAUAGGAUGGUUUUCAUUGUUAGUAAUGGGAGGAGGGUGAGAUUUUGAAGGGAUAGAUGGUGCGGGGAUUCUCCUUUGUGUAUGUCUUUUUCUUCUCUUUUUGAUUUGACUGUUGAAAAGAAAGCGUGGGUGGCAGAUUUUGG